UCAGCCACACACACCCUCCCCGAUUUUACUGACACCAAAUGACCGCUCUCCAGUCGCUAGGACAAGGGGAGGCAGAGAGACGCUUGUGGACGGCAUCUGGGGAAGCAGUUGGCUGUGGGUUGCUAGGCAAAAAUAAACAUCAGAGACACCUCCCAUUUCCUUACAACUGGAAGCCUUUUCCCCACGCGGCCACUGGGAGAGACACACCUUCCUCUCUGCUCUCUGCUGCGAGGGAGCGACACCUCUAAAUUCUCUCGUCCUCUGGUAUGAUUCUUUCCCUUCCAAGACACGUGAAAAAUUUCUCUGCCCUUUUAAUUGGCCAUGUACUACUUCUCUUUCCCAUGAGUACCAAAAAAAUUGCUUGCCCAUCUCACACCUGCGCCUUGUGCUGCGUGGCACAUUGUAUGCCUUUGUCCAAAGGUCACCGGUUUUGCCAUUUCAACAGUUACGAACGAGAGAGGAAAGCUGGACAAAUCUCAGAUGACAGGGCAGAAAGUUAUGCUGUGGAUUUCUUUUCUGAGAGGUAUCUAGUUUUUGAAGUUCUCCUGAGGAUACGGGUCCAUUCCACUCCACCCAGCAGCGUGCGUCUUCAAGCCCCUUGCAGGACCCAGCUUGCAGGCCCAAACUAGUGCAGACUCCAAAGAGAAGGGAGCCACCUCCUGCGGAGUUCCAUCGCCUCUACUGUUUGCAAAUUGUCAUAGCAACCUCCCACAGAGAUCACCUUCAGCUUCAUACAAAGCCAAAAGUUGAGUAUUUCAAGGUAAUGAGAUCCUCCCAGUGUCUCUGGGCUCCUCUAAUAGAAUUAAGAGUAGGGGGCUUGGCAGAGGGAAUCAGUUGCAAAGAGUAGAAUUUUGCCUAAUACGUCUUUCCAAAAAAUUCUCUUGGGGCUUCGUCCUAAGAGAGUAAGACCACAGCAGAACAAUCACUCUAACUACAAGCUGUAGAAGCUGAUCUAAAUUGGUCCUGGUGAGGAAUAUCUCCCUAUGCUUAUCACUGAAGGCUAUUACAUUUAAAUGCACUUGGGAAAACAUAUUUAGUGUUCAGAAUUAACUGAAAGAAAAGGUUUACUAAGUAGCAGAGAUGAAACUAGGACUGGUUUCCUCACCUCUGGUCUGCUAUCCCUAUGCUUGCUAUCAUACCACCUUACAAUUUCAAGAAAGUUCUUUCUUCCUCCUUUCAAAAUAAUUAUGCUUAUACUGUUUUCCUCUUUUUAAAAAAAUAUUUUUAGUUGUAGAUGGACACAAUAUUUUUAUUUAUUUAUAUGUGGUGCUGAGGAUCAAACCCAAUGCUUCACACAUGUGAGGCAGGUGCUCUACCCCUGAUCUACAUAUAGCCCCAGCCCCUGUUUUCCUCUUUUUAAAAAUGAGUAUUCCAUACUACUGAUGUUCAAAUUUAAAAAAAAAAUAAAAUAAAUAAAUUUUAAUAUGAACUGACAUUUGUUUGCAGGUUAUCUGUACAAUACCUCAAUGGAAGCUGAGUAUACUGCUUUUUCAUGAAUAAGAAAAGCACUAAUUACUGUCAGUCAUACUUUGAUUUCUAAAUUAAUAAUAUUAAUUUGUAUAUUAAACAUGUGGAAAAAAAACAUGAAGUUUUAUUUUUUACAAACAUAAAGAAUCACUAAUUAAGUCUGGCAUGGUGGUACACUCUUCAAGACCAGCAUCAGCAACAUAGCAAGACCCUGUCUCAAAAUUCAAAAAAUAAAAUCAAAAGGACUGGAGAUGUGGCUUAGUGGUAAAGUGCCCCUGUGUCCAAUCCCUGGUAUUAAAAAACAAAAACAAAACAAAACAAAACAAAAAAAAAAGAAAGAAAGAAGAAUCACUAAGUAAAAAGAGACAUGAAACAUGUUGUUUAGGAAACUUUUCUUGGUAUGUUGUUUCAUGAAAUUACAAGAAUAAUUUCAAUUUUAUUUAUUUAUUUACUGAACAUAAUGGCAUUUAUUAAUGAACAUAAUUGGCAGCUAACCCAAUUAUUAACCUUUUUUUUUUGUACUGAAGAUGAAACCCACAGACCCUUUAUCAGUGAACUUCAUCCUCAGUCCUUUUAUUUUUUUUAUUUUGAUACAGGACCUUGCUAAGUUUCUGAAGCUGGCCUUCAACUUGCAAUCCUCCUGCCUCAGCCUCCUAGUUCUUAAGUAUUUUUAUUAUAAUAGCAUACCUUUGAAAAUUAUAUUAAUUCUUGCUGACUUCUAAACUAGUAUUAACCAUUGCUUGGAUUUCUUGACCUCAGCCUGAAUUAAUAUCUAGUAGAAAGAUAUACAAAUGUUCUUGGGCUUUUAGGGAAGAGUGAACUGGGUAAAUUCUGGGAGUUAUUUUCCUCAAACUGUAUUAUUGUAAUCUACACUUAUGAUUGCAUAGUAUACUGUAUAAUAUAAUUGCACAGUACACUAUCUCUUUACAAAGUGCUCUCAAAAUUAUUACCAUGUUUAAUCUUCAUAAUUGCUAAAUAACCAGAAAUGAUUUGUCUUUAAAUAGCAACCCCCUUGAGAGCUCCAUUCAGUUAGUAAGUCUGCUCUUUGGUUCUUGCCUGUUGUAAAUCCUGUAUCUGUACUGUAAUGUUUAUGAAAUCCAGAUUCAAAUAGUAAGUAGGUAGGCAGGAAUUAGCAGAAGUAGAGAGAAAGAAACUAGGGAAACUCAGAAUUGAGACUUGUAGAAGGAAAUUGAUUUUUCACUAAGGAAAGUACUGAUCACAGAGAAAAUUGGAAACGAACAAGAAAAUUACUGGCUUCAAACCACACUCACUCAUUUACUUCCCUUGUCCCCAAAACAUUUACAAAGAAUUUAGUAUGUCUAGGCCUAGGAGAUAUAAUGAAUCAUCAGAUGUAGUGGGCUAGGCUUCAGUCUGGCAAUCUAAUACAACUUUUUAUUUUAUUAAUUUAAGCAAUAAAAAAUAUAAGCACCUAACUAUUAAUAGUGGGGUCCUAUGGUCUGAAUGUUUUGUGUCCUUCCCAAGCUUUAUAGCCUAGUGUCCAUUAAUGGAAACCCCUCAGAGAGAGGAGGCAUGGAGUUCAGAACCAAUGGCCAGUGGUAUCUACCCUUGCCUCUGGAGGGUGGGUCCAUGGCCACAGCUGGCAUGGAAGUCCAGAAGAGAUUUCUGUCCUGCUAGAAGGUUAGUUAUCUGAAGGGUCUAUAUUGACAUCCAAUCUGCCAAGGUGAUGAUAAGGAGUCUACAUAGGUCUGAAUAGAGUCAGAUUAGGAAUUAACUUAAAUUUUAUCUGGAAAUGUAGAAACAAAGUACAAGGACUUUUAUAGCAACUAAGUAAAUUGCUAAGAAACUGGCUGUGUUAGGGGAACACAGACUCUGGUUAAUGUAAGUCUAAUGCUUUUUAGGAGAAAACUAUUAACUAAUGGUACCUUCCAUUCUUCAGCACCAAGGUUCAGAAUCCCUUAGAGAAUAUGAAGAUUUCGUGGUCCCUUAAUGUAAACCCCUCAGAUGCAGAAGACAGGGAUGUCAGAACCCAGUGGCCAAUGGCAUCUUGCCUCUGGAGGGUAGAUCCAUGGCCACUCCUGGUAUGGAAGUCUAGAAGAUUUCUGUACUAUUAGAAAGCUGGUGAUCUAAAGUGUCCAGGCAGAUUGGCUGUAUUUUGGUCAGCACACUUACAGAGCCAGUUUCCUUCAAACUAAGUGCAAGAGGGUGCAUUUGUUUCCUAUAGCAAGUUAAAUAUUUGGAAGUGUCAGUGAUUUAUUCCAUCAUUUCUUGGGACCAGUUCAUCUGCUUUUUUUUUUUUUUUUUUUUGCUUUUUUUUUCCAGCUGCAUUCCAAAGACAGGAUUAGUGUUGAAAACUAGAAAGUAGGUGCUGUAUUUUGGUCUUCAAUGCACCCCAGAGGCCCACAAAGGACUUGGUUGCCAGCCUUGUGGCACUGGGGAAUAUGGCAGAAAUUUUAGGAGGUGGGGCUUAGUGAAAGGAAGCUAUAUGAUUUGGGGUAUGUCCUUAGAGCAGAUAUUGGGCUUCCAGCCCUUUGCUGUUUGCCUUCAGGCUGCCACGAGAUGAGCAGCUUUGCCCUACCAGCUGCUCCCCACCAUGAUCUGCUGCCUCAGCACAGACCCAAAAGCAAUGGGCCAACCAAACAUGGUCUGAAACCUCUGAAGCCAUGAACCUAAAUAAAACUUUUCUCCUCAUAAGUUAUUUGUCUUGGGUAUUUUGUCACAGAAAGGGAAAAUAUAUUAACACAACAGUACAGGGAACAUGUCCACAGCCCAGUGAAGGUCAUGUGCAGCAUGCUUUCUUUUUGCUCCCCAGAUCCACUCUCUACUCUUUCAUCCCACUCUGUGCCACAGGAGGCUUUACAGACAGAAGCAGGGGAUUUUCUUACCCACUGGCCUUUGCUGGAUUUGGCCAAUGGAAGGUACUAGCAAGAGAUCAAAGGAGUCAAGGGCAAUGAUUGGGGGCUUUUAUCUCCCCGGCUGUGUGUCCCAGCCCCUGAUUUUUAUGCUGGCUAUGUGUCUAACCCUAACCCCAUACAACUUGGGGCUGUGAGUCAUCCUUACAUCUUCAGGCCCUCUUCCUCCAGCUCUAGGCUUCUGUGGGACAAGAACAGGACAUAAAUUUUAUUCUCUCUUAAGAUAUAGAUCUGUUACAAGGAAAGUUCAGAAAAGUCCAAAUUAGUAUAGCCCUGCUAAACUAUGUCUGGUCUAAGGGAUUUCUAGACUUGGGCUAGAUGGAACAGGUAUAGCAGGAAUCAAGGCUAAGGAAUCCUCCCAAAGAGUAAUAGUGUCUUCACUAACACCUUUACCUGCCUGAGACCUCUCAAAAUAAUUACUGACAUAUAUGUAUGGUGCUUAUUGCGUCAGGUAAAGUUCUAGAGACUCUACUCAUGUAAACACAUAUAAUUCUCUGUCUUGUACAGUAGGUACUAUUAGUCCUAUCUUAGAGACAAGGAAAUUGAAGCACAGACAGGUUAACCAACUUACCCAAGGUCAUAACACAAAUAAAUGUCAAUGCAAAUGGUCUAGCUUUAGAAUCUGUGCAGUUGCUGUUUGGGGCACUAAGUAGAGAUUUGACCAGGCAGAUCAGUACCAUAAUCCUCUCAAUGUCAUUAUCACCACUAAUAACUUUUCACAUCACAAAAUGAACUCUUUGGUAAAGCCCCCUCAUGUUCCUGCAGUCAACCUCAGCAGUCUAUGACCCAGGGCAAGCUUACUUUGUAAAUAAGAACUGUGAGAUGAAAAGAGCUAAGUGACCUGCCAUAGAUAGGAGUGGAUUUAGAAUUCAGAUUUGUUGACUGCCAACAAAAUUUUCUUUUUUUUUUCUCUCCCAAAUUAGAUUAUUACAAAAUUUACUUUAGGUACUUAUAAAAACAUAUACCAUAGGAUGAUCAAGUUUUGAUAUUGUGGGAUUUGGGGAGAAAAUUCUUGUGGCCACAGGAAUGAUUAUAGUCUGGUCUUUAAGAAUAAACUUGGCCAGAUUCACAAAAAAAAAAUUAAAUACAAUUUUAUUGUUUUCUCUUUGUUUUAUUAUAGCUAAUCUGCCCCCUUUGCCUCAGGGGAAUGGAAAAAUAACAACAACAACAAAAAGAAGUAUCCAUGGCAGUUGAAGUGGGGGUUCUUCUAAACAUGACCACCUCCUACGGUAAUUCAUAUUUCCCUAGGACCUGAGAGAAUUGCUUUUAAUUAAAUCAGACGUUUAGCCAUAUCUAUACUCUUAUUCAAGUUAAAGACCAGGUUGACCAUAUAUUGGUUCAUUGAGGUUGGGUAAUUGUUGUUUCAUAGUCCUGGACUAUUUUUAGAAAGUAUCUUUGACUGAUGAAAAGCCUCUUUAAAUAUUAUUAUAGACAAUACAUUGUGCUUGUUAGUAUCUCUCAUAAGAUGGUACUGGAUAGAUUCAUUGUUCACACAGCAGUAUUCUCCAACAAAGGUUCUGAAAUACAAAAACUCUAGAGCAAACACUUGUGCUUAGCACAUGUGCAGAUGAAUGGCCCUUGAUCAGCCUCUUCAACUGGCACAGAUAAUAAAAACUAGCCAGGACAUAAUGAACUACUGAUCGGCAGAAAAUAACGGAUAUGAAGAAGAGAUUAAGAGGGAGUUUGUUAAGUGAUCAUUCCUUUUUAGAGAAAAGGGAAAAAAACAAUUUUAUUAUAACCUGGAAGGAACAAUGGAGAGAAUAAUGCUCUAAUAGAAUAGGAAUGGAUAAAUAAAUCAUGGUGUGCUAGACAGAAUGAAGAGCAAGAAAAUUGGUGUGGAGAGAGAACAAGAAUAAGAGAGAAGAAAAUGAGAGAAACUUUAAAAAUUUUUAUAAGAGGAACAUGAUGAAAUGUGAGGUAAGGCCAUGAAUGAGAUAAAGGUGAAAACAAAACUUAGAAAGAAAUAUCACUGGAAUGCUGCAGACAAGCUAUUUUCUUAUAAUGGACAUCUUUAUACCUGACACUUACAUUAUCUAGGGGCUCCUUAACCAGAACAGAUUGCAUUAUGCUAUAGGGAAUGGAGGUUGGUCAGGUCAUUGUCUUCUACUCUCUGGCCACACAUUUUCAUCUGAUCUUGCAGGGGCACUUACAGCUUCUCUGGUGAUACUUUUGUACCUCCCCCAAGGCUGAGAAGUGGAAAAGAGAAGGUGUCCCUUCAAUACAGAGCUGCAUCAGCAUGGCUGAUCCAAGCAGAAACCAAGGGCUCUUCCUCUUUUAGUGAAGGCCUGUUCCUGUGGUGCUGUUUCCCAACUUGGUCCUUAUUUUGCUUUCCCUUAUGUGCCUAUCUCUUGAACAGAAUUACUUCCUCUAAUGAUGCAGCUAUCAAGAUAGCAGCUGGGAAAACGUGAAAACCCAAAGAAUUUAUGCAAAGAAAUACUAUGUCAGGCAUGUGAACUGAACUAGAAUUGCAUAUUCCUGCUGAGACUCACUCAAGCGCCAUCAUAUUUGCAAACGGGCACGUGGACGAAUAAGCUAACCUGGUAGAGAAAGAUGAUCCAAGGCCAAGACAUUAUUGCAUAUUUCAGAUAUUUGAAAUAAACAAAAAAUCUUCAUGCCGUUGUCUUGGAGUUUUUCUUACUUGAGAAAUGAAAAAUCAACACAAUUUUUUUGAUGAAAGCAGCCUUUAUGUAAAGUUGUUGUAAGUUGAGAACACAGAUCCCAUUAGAUGACUCAACAGCUAUAAUCCAGUUAUUUUACAAGAAGAAAAUAAUACAAUGGUCCUCAAAAAAGAAAUGGAAAAGAGAAAGACUCCAUUUUUUUUUUUAAUUCAUAAAAGGACUUUUCCAUGGAGUAACUGGCACUGAAAGGUGUCUAAAGGAAUUGUUAUGAAGAGUAAGUCAGGGGGAAACACUAAUUUUCUGAAAUCCUGCAAGGUCUUACAAAGUGCCCGAGAAAUCACUGAAAGCAUAUAUGGCUAGCCAGCUCUGCAGCAGAGCCCACCACAGCUCAAGAUCAAAUUUUCAAGAGCAGCUUAUGACUUCCUACUCUAUGUCAAUCAAUCUCCUCAAAGUUGACGUAAUGCCUACUGAAUUGAAGGGUUGACAACUGUACCUGGUCAUCAAUUUGCCUUUGAAUCAAGUUUUUCUUAUCUCUCUUCCUCUUCCAUAUAUUCCAGUCAUCAUUUCCAUCAUUAAAAAUUUUCCUGAUAAGAUUUGGCAUUAUCUAUAAAGCAGGAGUGGGGAACUGUGAACUAAAAUUGUCCUUCAUCUCUCUAAACCCCAAGUUGAUUUUUAUUUCCAUCUCAAGCAAUAGAAGACUUUUUAAAUUCCCUAAAGAAACUGAUGAAAUUUUGGUUUGUCCCUGAGGGGACCAUAUAUAAACAAGAACCAUACUCACCUUUUAAAACUGAUCUUGAGAAAAUGACGUGGAAAUGUUUUCCUACAUUUAAAAUAUUAUGAUGAUGACUUUCAAGUGGUAAUGUCAACAAUCUAGAACACAGCAGAAGACAAGAAAGGAAUGUUUUAUUCUACAUAUACACAAUCGGUGUUGCAAAAACCAUGCAGCAUAUAAUCCAGACAUUUUAUUAAUAGAAGAAUUAUUCAAACUUUUGUUCAAAAACAAUCCACAACAUGGUACAAGGGUCAGAUGGCCUAAUACCAAUCGAAGCUCUGCUGUGUACUCAUUGUAUGACCACUGGAAAAUAUCUCAACCUCUCUAUGUCACAGUUUUCUAAUCCAUAAAGUACUAUCUCCAUUAGGGUUCCUAUAAGGAUUAAAUAAGAUGAUCUACUUUAAAUGCAUAGAACAGAACCUAGCACAUAGAAAGUAUAUACUACAUACAAGUAAAUACUAUUUUAUAUACUUUUCUAGUAAACCUAGAAGUCUGAUUCUCAGGCAAUUGUCUAUUAGAUUUAGCAAAUCAGGAGAGGUGGGAGGGUACUAGUAAAAGGUCCAUUGUUAAUUCACACUACAUGAAGAGACAGAGAAAUUUUCAAAAGCACGCAAGAAUCCAAAAGGCAUAGCAGCUUCAAGCCAUAGAGCAUCACAGCCAGCAAUUUUUAGGUGAUUCACCCCCACCUUUCUUUUCUUUUUCCUCUCUAGCAACUACACAUGAGAGAAAACAUACAACCCCUGACCUUCUGAGUUUGAUUUAUUUCACUUAAUAUGGAGGUCUCUACUUUCAUCCAUUUUCCUAUAAAUGCCAAAAUUUCAUUUUUCUUUAUGGCUGAAUAAAAUUUCAUUGUGUAUAUAUACCUUAUUUUCUUUAUUCAUUCAUCUGUUCAUGGAUACCUAGGUUGGUUCCGUAGUUUGGCUAUUGUGAAUUGUGCUACCAUAGACAUGGGUAUCCAUGUAUACCUGUAAUAAGAUUAAUUCUUCAGGAUGAAUACUGAGGAGUAGAAUAGCUAGGUCAUAUGGUGGUUCCAUGCCUAGUCUUUUGAGGAAACUCCAUAAUGAUUUCCAUAGUGGUUGGACUGAUUUAUAGCCCCACCAACAGAGUAAAAGUGUUCCUUUUUUUCCUACAUCCUCUCCAGUUUUUAGUAUUAUUCUUGAUGACUGCCAUUCUGAGUGGCAUGAGAAGAAAUCUCAGUGUAGUUCUGAUUUGCAUUUCCCUAAUUGCUAAUGAUGUUGAACACUUUUUUUUUCAUGUAUUUCUUGGCCAUUUGUGUUUCUUCUUUACUCUCAAUUAUUUUAGAAGAGAGAAAUGGAGACCCCACCUACUUCAAAUCUAUGGGUAUAUGUGGAAAUGAAACCACACUGAGCAAGAAACUCUCAGGAAGUUCUCUGGAAGAUAUAUCUCUUCCUAGAUCCUUCUCCUAUCACAGUGCCUGAACUAGGGUACAGCAGCCUGCUUAGCGUAUCAACAUGAGUUGAGUAUCAUUAUUCUGCUACAUUGAUCCAAUACUUCCCAUACUCUUGCUUAUCAAUGAAAAUUUCCAGAUAGAAUGAUAGAGAAAAUUAGUUACUAGGAAAAACUAUGAAAAAUAGAGUCAUGUUGAAAAUUUCUCCAUGUGUUUAUUUCAGACAGAGCCAGUCUUUUUCCAUUAGUCUGUGUAAUUUCCAAGGUCAAAAGUCUUUUCCAAAAAGAUUCUAGGAGAGUCUUACAAAAUACUAACCUAUUUGGAAGCAGCAGAGCAUGACUCUAUUUUAUUCCACAUCAUAUUCAAUUUAAUGCUGACAACUUAAUUUGAGAAGAUUUAUGCAAAAAAUAAUAACCAUUGAUAACUACCAUUUUUUAAAUUCUGAAAAAGGGACUUGUUUUUUCCUAUUAUUAUUUUGCUUUUGCACUUUUGUCUUUGAAUAUUAAGACUUGUAUAUAUUGAAACAGAAAUUUCAGGUCAUAUACCAAAAAGAAUGGCUUCCCCUGUAUAGGAGAAGUAAUUGUCAUAACUAUGUAGGAACUUAAUGGUUCAGUUAGUUAAUAAUUAAAAUUGUGUGCAAAUGGAAAAGUUAGAAGUUAUAGACCCAAAGCAAGCUUAUAAAUAAGUUUUCUUUGCCUUAUAGAAGGCUUUUGAAAAUGUGAACUCAAUGCCAACAUUUUGAAAGUGAGACUUAAUAUAAAUAUCAAUUUUGGCUUUUCUGGAAAUAAGGCAAAAACCUAGCUGUGCUGUCCUCUCUCUCAGUCUUGCAAGGCAGUGAAGGACCCUCCCCUCCCUUCCACCUUCUUGCACCUCUCAAACUCCACCUCAACUCUGCACCCUACAGAUCACCGCAGUCCUUACCACUUCCUGUUAUUGUGUGUGUCUUAGGCUAACUUUACCUAUCGACAGUACCUGCCUUUCUCCACCAGGCACUUUGGUAAAAACCUACAAUGAAUUUUGUAUUUCCUGAAAUUCCCUUGUCACCUACUUUAUGGUUUUAAGUUUAUCCUUGCUCUUCUUCCUUUUCAUCACUUAUAUUCCAUUUCUUGAUACUACUGUCACAAUGAACAGAGGUCAAUUGUGAUUUGGGUAUUCAUACUGAGACCUUUCCAACUAGUUUUGUGCAUAGAUACAUAUCUGGCACAAGAAACAUUGUUUUCCUCUUGUACUUGAAAAUCAAAUCAGUUUCUACUUAGUACCAAAAUGUUCAUACAUUAAGACCACUGCCUAUACAAAAGCUAAUACAGUGAUAUAUGCACUGUUCUGCCCUUUGGUGACCUAAUACAAAGUUACUGUAGAUAGUUAGCUCUAUUUUGGGACUCUUUAUACAUUAUAAGCACAUAAGUGAUAUUCUUACAGUUAUUAAUUUUAUUUUAUUUUAUUUUUUCUGAAAGUAGUUAAGGUCCUCAACUUCAUGUAGAAUUUCAUAAGCAUGGUUUGGAUCAAGCAGUGAUUCACAUGUGUCUCAGUGCUACAGAAGCACUCAGCUGAAAGGAAUACAUUCAGCAAACAGAUGAAUCUUAAACUGCUUAUUCAGUGUCACAACUUAGAUGUCUAAUAAAUAUCCUGAAUGCAAUGUAGCUAAUACUGAAUGCAUGAGUUCUAUCUUUCCUUUCCUGUUCUUCCCAGUGUGUUUCGUGUUUCAGCACAUAGCAUCUCCAGCCUUCCAAUCACUCAGGCCAAACACCUUUGAGACAUUCUUGACUCCUCUCUUACUCUUAUACCUCACAUCCCAUUCAUCUGCAAAUAUUGUUAAUUUUGCACUCAAAAAUAUCCAUAGUCACCUAUUUCUCACUGCUGUCACUAAUAUACCACAGUCAAAGGCACACUCUUCUGAAUUACAGAAAUAGACGCCUAUUUGGUCUCCAUUGCCUCCUUUAAACUUGACACAAAAUCAUACAGAUCUCUUUCAAACACAAGAUUAUGUCGCCCUCAUUUCAAAAUUUUCCAUUAGUUUCCCAUCAGCCAAGUAAAAGCUGAAGUGCCUGGAAUAGCCGGAAUCUCCUGUAUGAUUUCCCUGCUGCCCCUGUCCUUCUCUAAUGCUGUCUGGUUCCACCCUCCCUUGCUCACCCUUUCACUCAUCCUGGUCUUGCUGCUGUACCUCAAACACUCUAGACAUGCCCUCACAUGCACUCAUCUCAUUCCCUGCAAUGCUCUUCCCCUGGAAAGCCUCACCUCCUUCAGGUCCCCUUUUAGGUGAGUUCAACCCUGACACUCUAUUUAUAAUUUUGAAGCCUAUUUGUAUUUUUAUAUACUUACUGCUGUCUGCAAUAUAUCUUUACUCACCUGUUUUCUCUUUAUCUCCCUCCAGUAGAAUAUAUGCUUUCUGAAAACAGGGACUUUUGUCACUCUUUGUUCUGCUGCUGUUGUUUUAUACCAAGAACAGUGACUGGGACUUGGGAGUCCCACAAUAAAUAUUUGAUGAAUGAAUUAGGUAGAAAUGCCAUCAAUUUAAACUCUAUUUUCAGAAUUAAACUCUAUAAAGGAGAAGGCAUGAUUCCAAUCUGGAGCAUCUUUAUAUGAUCUUCAAAAGAACAGGAAACAAAAUAAAAACAUUUAUUUCUUACAUUCUUUGGACAGGACCCACGAGUCCUGAUUUAUCAAAACUAAGCCUGUGGGCUGAAUUCCAAAGGUGUGGAACCCCUAUACAUGAGGUUAUAUAAGGAAGUUCUCUAUGUUGAGAUAUGCCAUAAAGGGGCAGAGAGUUCUGUUAUGAUCUUUGGGUGACUCUGCUCACUUUUGUCAGAGGCAUCCAGGAUUUGAAUGUGUCUUAAAUAGGGCCUUUAAAGGAGGCGUGCUGAGGCCACUUGGCUGUUUCUGGGUCUGAGUUCUACUCUGUCAAUUUGAUAGCACCACGAACUGCUGCAUUUGUUUUAAAAUCUGCCGGUGGGUUAAGAUGUUACAACUCUUGGCCCUAGAUUAUUAGAAUGUAGCAUGUUGCUUCUGAACUUGAACAAAUAAAACCUCAGGGAAAAAAAGACAAAAGCCAAAUACAACAGAAACAUCUGCCACUUUAGUGGCAACAACUAUAAAACAAAAACAAAGUAGACAACACAUUGGCCACAUUAAGGCCUCUGUUCACUGUUGAUUUGUUAGUGCUGCUUUAGACAGGGCUGUAAUCACUGUUGUAUGUGCCAUCAAAGAAGUUGUGUUAAAACAAGAAGUGAUCAGCUGUCCAAUCUGAUUAUUAACUCUAGAGUUGGCAUUUACCCAUUUUGUGGAAUUUAUGUUCAUGUUGACUUUUCUUUAAAACCCCGAGGAAUAAUUUGCAAACUGUUCACCCUGUAUAGAUAUUGUUCUAAGGGCUUUUCUGUAGUAUCUGACUACGGUGUUAUGAGGAAGAGAAUGCGAUUAUUUCCAUUAAUAAUGGAGAAACUAAAACAGAAAGAGGUUACAUAACUUGUUAACACACCUGGUUAGUUGCAGUAGCUGUUUGAACACCAAUCAUCUUUGAGUUCAUCUUCUUAACUAUUGCAGGGUUUUUUGUUUUUGUUUUUGUUUUUUAAAGAGCAUAAUAAGCAGCACUCAAAUAAUUGGAGUAUUUAUAACUUUUUAUUCAAGUUCUGCAGGAAAUGCAAGAUAAGAAAAUCUAGUCUUGCAGAGUCAAAAGCACUGUUGAGAAUUUAAUGACCUUGGAAGACGAAGAUCCUUUGAGAAUGCAAAAAUUUAACCCCAAGCAACAUAAGCUUUUAUGAAAAUGCCUUUCAUCUCCCUCCAAUCCCAGAAGUGACUAGAUAUCAUACAACAUCAGAAAAAGGGCAGAAGGGCAUAGUAGGAUAUUCUGGAUAUUCUUCCCCCAGAGACUUAUUUAUGACGGUCAGUACAAGGUCUCUAAAGAUACCACUGGACAUGGAAGAGUACAGCAUAGGGUUGCUCUCCACACCUCAGCUGCACCGAUGGCAGUAUAUGCCAACAUGACAGGACAGCUGUCCUUCCCAGGCAGGAAAGACCCAGAGCUCCUAAAGAACACAGAUUUGCCUCAUUGUAAAUUCUAGUCACAUGCUUCAAACAUGCUUUCAGGAUACAUAAGUGUGCUUCUGCUGCACACUUAUGAAGCAACAACAAAGUCUCCCGACAUUUUAAGUUGUAAAUGUAUUCCAUUUCCUUCUCAGCAAGCUUUUGGAAUAUUUUUCUUUAGUGUCCAAUGUAAACAUAUUACAAUUAAUUUUGAAAACUCAAAACUCUUAAAUACUUCUGUUCUCAUUGGUUGCCAGUGUAGUUUUAAAAAAUAUCACAGGCCUAAUUUUCCCCAAAGCACAAAGGAAGAAUAUUUUGAUGAUAAUAAUGGUUCAUUCAGUGUUCCCUAUUUUAAACACACACUUUGAGAAUCAACAGAAAUAAUGCUCUUUUUAAGAUGUAAAUCUAGCCAUGUUAUAUGUCCACUUAAAUGGCCCAUGGUUCCCUGCUUGCUGCUCUCAGGAUGAAGUCUGAAUUCCUUAGCAUAGAACUGGGGUAAGCAGGAGUCACAUUGCUCCAGAUCUUUGAAUGUGCUACCUCCUUCACCAGAAUGUGUUCUGCACACUUUCCCCACCCCUUCUCCUGGAUUCUUCCCUUUCCUUCAGGUCUCACUGGGGAGAUCUCAAUCUUUUCUGACUACUCCCUCCUGGAUUAGAUAUAUAUUAGUCAGGGUUUUCCAGAGAAGCGGAAUCAAUAUAGGAUAGGAUAUUUCUAUAGUUACAGAGAAAGAUUUAUUAUAUAGAUUCAUCCAUGUGAUUAUGGAAGCUGAGAAGUCCCAUGAUCUGCUAUCUGCAAACUGCAGGCUUGGGAAAGCUGGUGAUACAGUUCCAGUUCAAACAGAAAGGCCUAAAACUAGCGGGGGGCAGAUGGUGUAAUUCCCAGUUCCAGUCCAGAGACCUGAGAACCAGGAGUGCCAAUGUCUGAAGGCAGGAGAAAAUGGAUGUCUCAGCUCAAGCAGAAAGGAAGUUUCCCCUUUGUCUGCCUUUUUGCUCUAUUCAGGACCUCAUAGAUUGAAUGAUGCCCACCCACACUGGUAAAAGCAAUCUUCACUCAGUCUGCUGAUCAAAUGCUAAGCUUUUCCAGAAAGACCCUCACAAAAAAACACCCCAAAAUAAUAUUUUCCUAGCUAUCUGGGUAUCCCUUAGCCCAAUUGAGUUGACACAUAAAAUUAAUGAUGACAAGUCCAUGCCUUGCCAAGUUAGUUUGUAUAGAUAUAGGCACAUCUUUAAACAUACUUAAUCUCUGAAUAAUGACUAUAGAGAGAUCAUGGUUUCACCUAACAUGAUAGAACUAUCCUGCAUACAACCAAAAGUUGCACAAACCACUUCUCCAGAAAAGGAAGUAAAAUUCUACAGUGAUAUUUACUCUUCCCUGAUUUGAUUUGUUGAUUUGAGUAAAAUCAACAAUACUUACAUACAAAUUUAAGGUCAAAUCAUCUCAAAUUAUAAGAAAAGGGAAUAUAAGAGGAAAGAAAACAAAAAAAAAUCUGUUAUAUACACACAAAAAUAUAUUCAAAAUAAGGAUGCAGUACUUAUGACAAUUAUAGUCCUUGUUAGUAUAGCUGGUCAUGUGGCAGUAGUUAGUAUUUGUAUCUGCAUUCAUCUACUCACAAUCUUUUUCCCCUUUGCUUUUAGAAAAUCAUUUCAGCUAGUCAUGGUCCUUUACCUGGUGAGGGUGACCAACACCUUCAUUCCUGAAGGAUUUGGGCCAUUCAUAGUCCUGCCUGCAUUGAAUUUGUAGUUUUCUAUUGACCUUAAUCACAGGGUACUGUAACACUAAGAGACAAGCCCCGGGGACCUUCUAUAUUGCAGACAAGCAAGCUCUUCUUUACCUCCACUGUGGAGCCAUAGGCCAAUUUCUUGUUGGUGGUUAGGAGCUGUCACCCCAGGCAACAUCAUGACUCCCUUCUUGGUCUGUUAAUUCAGAGGAAUGAGCCCAAAGUGGCUUACCUUCCAGUUCAAUGGGAUCAUUGAUGUGUUUCUGGAAGGAAUCUCUCCCUCUUGAACUAAGACCUCUGGGUCAGCAGAGUAUAAAGUUGUGGGAAUAGGAAAUAAAAAUUUUGCUAGACAGUUACCAGGGUUCAUAGUGAAUGGUAUCACUUCCAUUUUCAGCCCUUAGUUCCUGGAUUUGUGAAUCUUGGGUGUCAGAAGAACAGUAUCAUAUACUGGAUGCUGAUUCAGAGCACAUUCUAUAGAACCUUAACCCAGCCCUGAAACACACUACCAUCGAGUUGAUGGUUCAACUGAGUAUUUAAGGAGCCAAUUUGCCAUUAUCAAGUUGGUGACUCCAGCAUGGUGGGUAAGAACAAUGAAUGGGCAUUGUGACCUUCUUUUGCUGUGAAGUAAGUUCCUUGAUCAGCAUCAAUGUUGAAUAAUACCAUGAUAAUAAUACCAUGAUAGUGAAUAAGGCAUUCUGUGAGUCUAUACUGUAGUUUUGUUAGAAACAUUACAUGUGGAGAAGGCAAAUUUUGCAUAUAAAUGUAGGAGUGCAUAUGCUAGGAGGGAAAAAUGUUGCUUCUUCCAUGCUGGACAUUGUCCAGUAUACUCAACCUGCCACCAGAUUCCUGGCUAAUUGCCCUGGGGAAUAGUGCCAUGUUAGAGGAUCUGUGUUGGCAGAUUGGGCACUCAGUGAUGACUGUAGCCAAGUUGGCAUUGGUGAGUUGAAAUCCAUGUAUAAUCUCCACCUCUGCCACUCUGGCUGCUUUGUUAAUGAGUCCAUUGGGUAGUGACUAGGGUAGCUGGGGAAGGAAGCUGACAGUAUCCUUAGGAUGAGUCGUCCCAUAUACUUGAUUAUUAAAAUCCUUCUCUACUAAGGUCAUUUUUUUUUUUUGUACCAGGGAUUGAACCCAGAGGAACUUAACCACUGAGCCACAUCCUCAGCCUUUUUUAUUUUUAUAUUUUGAGACAGGGCCUCACUGAGUUGCUAAGGCUGGCUUUGAACUUACAAUCCUUUUGUCUCACAGUCUCCCAAGCCCUUGGGAUUAUAGGCAUGUGCCACCACACCCAACUUUAAGGUCACAUUUUGUAAGCAUUCACAUGCAAUAUGCAUAUAUUCACAAACAAUGUAUAUCCACACAAGUCUCUUCCAGAUGUUUUUGUUAUCAAUUUUCUAAUCUUGUUCUUUUCAAGUCUCUGACCCUUCAGUCAAAUUAUUGGCCACAGUCCAUGAAGUGGUAUAUAAUUUUGUGUCUAGUCCUCUUCCAAGCAAUGUGCACAACCAGGUUCACUGCCCAAAGUUCUGCUAACUAGGAGAUUUUCCCUCACCACUGUCCUCUGGAGAUUCCCAGAGAGAGGACAUAGUGCUGCAGCUUUCCAUGUGGGGAUAGUACCUGCAUAGCAUGCACAACUGCAUUUAAACCAUAUCCAAUCCUCUUCCUCUGCCAACUGAUUAUAGGGAACGUCUCAGGAUGCCAUAGAAUCAGGAUGGGAGAGAGAAGUGUAGCAGAAGUAAGGACCAUGGGUAUUUGGGUUAUCCCUUCAUGUAACUUACUUGUGCCUUUAGUGCUUGUUCAUCCCUGGUUAUCUAUCUAUCUAUCUAUCUAUCUAUCUAAUAGAUAGCUCACACUUCCCUGUGAUAAUGGAGUAUUGUUAUGACUUGGUAUGUCAGAUAAUAGCAAGCUUAUAAUAGGAAGUUCAAGUCACAUGUUAGCUUGGCAGUUCACGGUCAAGUAUUUAGUCUCUACUAAGGCCCCAUAGCAGGCAAAGAGCUAUUCCUCAAAGAACAAUUAUAUGUGGAUGAUGGUAGAAACUUGCUCCAAAAUUAUGAAGGCUUGUACUGGCAUCAAACAGUAUCCCUGCCACUGCCACUUUAAGUACAAUUGUAUCUGCUGGGCCAUAUGGCCCAAGGAACUAAGCAGUAUGGACCUACUGCAGAAACUUUUCCUGUUCCAGGUCUCACCCCAAACUAGGAGAUUUUCAGAUCACUCAGGAAAUGGGCCAGAGUGACAUACUUGAUAUGUUGCUUACAAAACCUGAAGAUACUAUUUCCUAGGUUGCAGGAAAAACAAGAUAGAAGAUUGUUGUAAGAUACAAUAAAUUAUCCUUCAGCUUAGAAGGAAUAUCUUCUUAUGCGACCAUGUCACUGGACCUCUAGAGAUUCCACUGAGGUAGAAGUUUUUUUUAAAUUUUAGUUGGAUUGAUUUCUCACUUUCUGAUAUUUAAAUGUUACUUGGGUUGGGGGAACCUCUUCUACAGGAAUAAAAAGUCCUAUUAGAAUUUAGGGACUAAAUUCCCCAAUUUUGUCAAGGAUAUUUUCACGUAUCCAUAUCACAACUUAUAGGAUUCUUUUGUAUCCCAAUCAAUUCCUUCACUUUAAUAGUAGACAUCCUUCAAGACUGGAAAUUCAACUUGCAUUGUAAUUCAGCCAUUGCACAAUGAGGUUCUGCAUUUGAUUUUCAGAAAUUUCAGCUCUAUAGCUUCAGGAGAUAAGGCACUUCUUCAGGGUGCAAACAGAAGUUCUUAGGUCAUUUGUAUGUCAUUUGAACUGGAAAUUUAAACUCCUGGCCCCAUUCUUUCCUUUCACAGCUUUUCCUAGCAACAUUAGAUAUAAUGAACCAAUGUUGCUAUACUCAUUAAUUUUCCAAAAAUGUUGGAAAUUAUCAUAAAUAAAGCUUCCUAACUCCUUGCUUUUUAUAAAGGGUCAAUUAGGCAUAUCCAUUGCAGAUGUUUUGCAUAUAUCUAUAAAAAACCAUGUGAAUGGUUAUCAAUGCUAUCUUUACUAUUAAAAAUAGUCAUUAGCAUCUUUAAUCAGAUUAGAAAAAUCAAUUCCAGGAACCACAGUACCAAUUCAGAAAAAUCAUCCUUAAAAUUAUGUUCCUCUAAAAGUGCUUUCAGUACCAACAUCUGUAUUAGUCAGUAUUUAUUAGUUUGAAUUCUCCAGAAAAAUAGAACUAAUAUGAUAUAGAUAGAUGGAUAGAUAUAGAUUAUUGAGUCAAUAUUCUGACAUAGCCCCAUGACAGUUCCUGAACUACAGGGUUCAGAUUGCUUCUGGGCUACUGAACACAUGGGAUUAUCAGGCAGGUGGCCUUCCCAGGGAGGGUCUGGAAGUUCUAUACCUCUUUCCACAUACCUUGCUCUAUGUACCUUUUCAUCUGGAUGUUCAUUAUAUCCUUUGUGACUUAUUUUUCAUAAAUGAGUAAACAUAAGUAAAGUGUUUCCCUGAGUUCUGUGAGCCAUUCUAGCAAAUUAUUGAACUGGAGGGGAGGGACUGUGGGAACUCUAGAAUUAUGGCCAGUUAAUCAGAAGUAUAUCUCAUAACCUGGAACUUGUGAUUGGAAUUUAAGUGGGGGACACUCUUAUGGAACUGAGCCCUUAACUUAUGGAGUCUGCAGUUAACUCUGGUUAAUGUCAGAACUGAAUUGAAUUAUAAGACACAUAGAUUAUAUCCAUUGAAAAAUUGCUUGGUGUAGAAAAAAACCUAACCCAUUAUGGUGACCAGAAGUGAUAUUCAUUGAUAGUAUAGUAAGAGAAAGCAGAUGUCAGUGCCUUUUGCUUACUAUUCACAGAGGAAAGAGGGCAGGCUGCAAUUUUAAAUAAAGGAGUCAAGUAGCCCUCUCCAAAAGACAAUAUUUGAGUGUUUGAAAUACUAAGCAAAGUUGUCCCCAGAUGUUUUAGGGGAAGAGCAUUUAGACAAAAAGAAGAAUUAAUGCAAAGCCCAGAGAGUUUGCUUAGUUAGUUCCAGUAACAUGAUUUAGUUUACAUUGGGAAUAGAUAAGCACUAUUUGGGGAAUAAGCUUUAUUUUGGUAAACAAGAAAAUGAUCCUUCUUAAUUGAUAGUUUCCUUUUUCACAUCCCUUGGACAUUUUCUUGUGAGUCACUUCUGUGCCAAAUUAAAAAUCUUAUCCUAUACAUCUGAAUCUUAUCCAAUGACUUUCAGCCAAGUAAUCUUGGCACACAGGAACAUUAUGACCUGUGAAUAGGGUUUCCCCCAAAUUCACAGCCAACUUGAUUUUUAGGAUACUGCCAUAAAAUUGAAUAAAAACAUUUAACUUAAAUUCUGUUUUUUAACACUAUUUCAAAAUGAGCUUUUAUAAGAAGGACACGAGAUUCAUGCUUUGGAAUAAGAGUUAUAAUUACAGCUGCAUAAUGAUCCUAAGAAACAUUUCUGCACCUGAGAAUCAAAUAUUCUGUGUGGACCUUUGGAACCAUAUCAACAGUGGAGAAAUCAUUACUUUGGGUUCUUGUCAGUUUUUAACCAAAUCAAAAGGGAAUGUAUCCAUUUAUUGGAAUUGGUCCUAGACAUGUUUAGUCACCGGCCAAAAAGGAAAGUCACGUUAAGGCUUUUUCAAAAGUAAACCAGAGAAUAUAGUUUACAUGAGAAAAUUAAAUGGCAAAUAAACCUUAUCAAAAUGUUUACACUGGUAAUCAAAGAAAUACAAACAAAUUAUAUUCCUUAAAACCAAUUUAAAUAGGAGUUAAAAUAUUUUAAAUCUGCAUUAAAAUAUAUAAGACUAUUGCACAAAGAUUAAUGAUUUGGGAAAACAUUUAAGAGAUAUUUUGAUGCACAAUGAAACAUGGUUUGGACACAUGGUCUCAGGCAUAUAAAAAUAUGUAUUAGAAACAAAAUCUGGGUGGAAAUACACUAAAUUGGUAACAGUAGUCAUCUUUGAAUAUUGAAAUUAUACAGAUUUUUACUUUUCUUUAUAUUUUUAGUGCAAUAAAUUUAUAAUAAAUACCACAUAUAUUGUUUCUACUCUUUUUAUUCUAAUAUAAAUUAUGUAUUUUAAUAUAUGAAUCAUUUAUGAUUUUCAGUAUGCAAAUUGCCAAAAUUAUUUUAAAAUGGCAUACAAAUAUAUUAAGUAUGGCUAAGCAGUAAAAAAGAAAAGUAAAAUCUUUCCUAAUUAAAGAUAGUUUUCAAUUUCCUAGAUGUCAAACCAGUGCUUUAGUCUGAUGUUGCUUUGGCUAGAAUGAAUCAGUAACAGUUUAUCUGGGACUAACUGCUAGGUAGUUUAAUAUUUACCAAAUUAUUAGUGAAAGUGGCUUUAGGGAAACCUUUAAGAUAGGCCAAGCCCUAAGAGUGGUGUCAUUAAGGAAUAGUUGAAUAGGAUAAAUAGUUCAAAUAGGUCAACAAUGUGUGGCUGGCAAUGUGAUGAGGAGAACACCUACCUAGCUCGUGUGAGUCUCUGGCUUUGGUCCCAACACUGCAAGGGAAAAAAAGGAAAAAAAAAAAAAAAACAAGGAAAAGGGAGGUAAGAGUACGAAUCUAAAUUUUAUAUACCUACAAAUGACCUUACAGGAAGCAAGAAAAGAAAUUUGAGAAUCUAUCUAGAGUUGCAAAUUUGUGCAGGUAAGCAUUGCACCUUUAUUGUUUUUCCUUUCAAUUUGGUAUUCCACCCUUUUGUUAUUUUGUUAAAUGAUAUCCUGUCUUAAUGUCAGGCUUAAUACAAAUAAGUAAUAUCUUCUUUCUUUUUCUGACAGAGGCUUUCUAGUUUUUUAAAGGCAAACAGUUUAAUUUUAUUACUAGGAAAAAAUGGUAUUGGUUAUUUGAAGGACACGUGUUUUGCCUUGUUUCCGAUUAAGUCUUUGCUCUUGAAACUCUGGAAAACCAGUGUCUUUAAUGCUCCAUUUCAUUAUGAAGCAGUUAUGCUGAAUGAGUUUGAAGCAUCCCCAGAGAGGCUGCCUUCUCUCAGGGAUACUCGUUCCCGGCUGGGUUACUUUUCUGCACCUUGGUGGCCCAUGUAAAAAGUUAAAACACCAAGUUGUCCAAAGUUUUCCACAAAAACAAGCUAAAUGUGUGGAAAUUCAAGUUGCUGUUCAGAUGAGUGGAUGUCGAAGCCUGGUGAUAAGGAUGCAGGGAAUCUGAAGAGGCACUUGAAACAAAGCCAUCUGAACACUUGCAGGACUUCUGCUGCGUUCUUUGGAAAGAUAAUUUCUUUAAAGUGCUCACUUAGUUCACCCAGGUGAGCAGUUCUUCUCCCAAAGCUUGUUUCUCAUCCUGCUCUGCCCUGCAGGUGUUUUUAAGUAUUUUUUGGAAUAUUCCUCUCUCAGGAAUUAGCAUGAGAUACAAAUUUGCUAUUCUGUUUCAGUCUUCCUUUUGUUGGGAUGGACAUUAGAUUUUCUUACUAAUUGUCACACAGACAUUUAGGUCUUUCAUUCUCUGGAGGCCACACUAUGAAUCCUAACCAGCUCUAGCAAGAUACUUCACACCUCAGAGCACCCCUAAGUCAAAAGCAAACACAAUGCUAAUGAAUAACAACGCAAAGGAGAGGGAAAGGAGAGAAAAACAUUUUUCUGUUAAACUCCUUACUACUUCGCCUGGAAAUCACUUACACUUCCUAAUUUCUUUGCAGAGAGCCAGUCUGUAAUGAAUUUGGAAUGUGAAUCAGUUGCCAUAUGAGCAAAUUUGGAAGCAGAUCCUCCAGCUGUGGUUGCUCCUCAGGUGACUACGUCCCUGCUGCUGCCAGGAUUGCAGCUAGUUGACUAGUGACAUGCUCACCUUCUAAAUGGCCUCUUAGAAUUGCCAGGUCUGGAUACAAAGGGGCAACUUUAUACCACUGCAGCCACCUCAGACUCCUACACGUUGCUGCAGACUUUGGGAAGCCAACAAGGAAGUAUUUGAAAUAAACUGUCCUUUCCCUUAUUCACAGGGAAGACAUGGAGGAGAGGGGUUUAGCUAUAAGCCUUAAAUGUUCAGGAGUAAAGGCGCUAGCCUCAGCACUGCUUAUAAAUUUCAUCAAACAUUGUCUACUUUGUACUAGGAAAAUAUCUAGUUUUGGCUGCUCUUUUUAUUUUUAAUUUUCGAUUUGAUUUAAUUUUUAAUUUUUUUGCUGUGCUAGAGAUCAAAUCCAGGCCUUUGGGCAUGCUAAGCAAAUGCUCCACCACUGAGCUGCACCCCCAGCCUUUGGCUGAUCUUACAACAUGUCCCUUUUGGUUAUCUCCUCUUUUUGUCAUUUUUUUUUUUUAAUUUGGUGCAGAAUCAAGACACUUAGCAUAAUACAGUUACACUGAUGAAAUGGAUAGUUUCUAUUUCUAUUCACAGGUGUUUUGCUUAUGUUUACCUGAAGUUCCCUCCAGCUAAUUUGGAGAUACUGUGAUUUUUCAAAGUGAUGAUACAAUGUGGCUCACACAAUUUAGAGAUCUUAAUACCAAGAGUGUGUGCUUUUUUAAAAAAAAUCUUAUAAUUUAUGAUGGUUUUAUAGAGAUCUGACAAAGCCAAAUAAGGAAACAUAAUAGUAAUAAUUUCAGGUAAAAGAGAACAGGCCUUGACUGCAAGGUCUGUCAAGGGUUUCUUCUGGGGUUCAAUUUGCAUACUUCACAAUCUGCUUCCCUCUUCCUGGGCCUCACCCCCAGGACUCCUAUAAGAAUCAUGCAAACUGCUCUAGUCAAUUUAUCAGAAAAACUCUGGAAGUUAAGAUAGGUUAUUAAUCUUCCUUUUUCAUAGACAAGAAAAAUGAGGCUGAAAUUAAAACAGAGUUAGCUUAGAGUUGCCUAAAUUGUUAAUGGAAAAUAUGAGGCUUGAAAAUAAAUUUGCUGUUUUAAAAUUCAGUUCUUUUUCAUAUGCCAGUGACACCCCUACAAACACUAUUUUUAUUUUUGUACAAAAUAACAUAUACUACUUAAGGAAUAAUUGCCUUUUGUAACUUUAAAAUCAAAGAUGUUCAUGGCUACAGGUUAAUAGUAUCUUCAUAGAGGGUUCAAUAAUCUCUCCUUCAGAGGACAGGGGUUUAGCUAUAAUCUAAAAGUAGAGAUUGUCUGUAUUCUUACUGUUCUCAAAAGUUUAUUUACUAUUCGAAAGACUGCACAGUUGAAAGAGAGAGAAACUAAUUAGAUUCAAAUCCCUACCCUCUUUUUCCAAGAUCUAAAUUAAAAGGCAUCACAAGAUACCUGUGUGCUGCAAAGGCUGCCAAAAUUUAAAAUUUACAACCCCUUUGACUUUAUGUUUCAGGAAAUUUGAUUUUGAGAUCUAAUUGUAACAAUGGUCUGUGACUAAAUCUAGAAAGCCCUAGCAUAGUGUCAGGGCACUGGUGCUCACUGCACACGCAGCAGCCCCUUCCCUUCUGAGCUCACCUGUGUGAGCUGGGUGCUCAGUGUUCACCACCAGGAUGUAGGACAAAAUUCACUGCACAGUUUUUUCAACUUAAGCAAGAAUAGGGCUUUUGUUAAAAGUGUGAAAGCCUUUGUGAGUGAACACACAAUUUUUGUUCUGACAUUGAACUGGUUUUCUAACACCUUUUUUUUUUCCCUAGAUGCCUUAUUCCUGUGCCUUUAGUAACCCACAGCAUAUAUUUCCUCUUCAAGUGCUUUGGAGUACCCAGCCUCCUUGGAAAAAGGGAAAAGACACAUGCUUAACUGUUAACACUAUGGUCUUAAUAACGUGGUAUCACUUUCUUGGGUAUAUUUCCCUUUUAAAAAGAGGAACUGGGCAAAAACAGUACUUAAUUCAAAGAAUGGAGUUUGCUAUGGUAGAAUGCCUAAUAAAGGCAUCUGUAUAACACUUUCAACAGCUGGGGGGAAGAAGGGUAUUUAGGACAGGAGAGGGCGUCUCUUAAGUUAUCCCAGGAGGACCCCCAUCUUUGCUUUGUGCACAGAGACUCUUUUUAAUAAUAAUUGUAAUGACUUCAUGGAAUGAGACAAAAAUACCACUUUUUCUCCUCUGCUAAAAUUGUUGACCCAGACCAUGAAGGUCAGAGUAAUAUGAAAGCCUCAUGAUGUGAAGCUAGGGUAGAUGAGAUUCAGAUCCUUAGCCACAUACUAGCUCUACUUAGCACAUUACAGACUGAGCACGAGUUUCUAUUUUUUUUUCUCUAAAAAUAAAGGCAACUCUUUGGCAGAAUAGUUGUAGGACCAUAUGAAUCAGGACUGGUAAAAGAAUCAACCACAGCUGGUGUUCAACAUGACUACUGCAUCUGGUUUGAAAGUGUGCUCAGCAAGCGUACCCUGAUUUCUCCCCCUUCAGAUUGAAGAUGUGGAUUUCCUGGAUUGGUUAAUUCCUUCUUUCCUUUCUCCCUUCUUUCAUUUCUUUCUUCCUUCCUUUUUCCAGGAGAUUGAACCGGAGCCUUGUGCAUGCUAGGCAAGUUAACUAAAUCUCUAGCCUCCUAGAUUUAUUUCUUAAAAACCAAAUAAAUUUCUAGGAAUUGGCAGCAGUUAGGUACACAGAGAAUGAUUUAAACACUCCUCCAAAUCAGAGAAGGCAAUUCCAAAGUAGAGAUUGUCUGUGUUCUUACUCUUCUCAAAAGUUUAUUUACUAUUCAAAAGACUGCACAGUUGAAAGAGAGAGAAACUAAUUAGAUUCAAAUCCCUACCCUCUUUUUCCAAGAUCUAAAUUAAAAGGCAUCACAAGAUACCUUGUGCUGAAAAAGCUGCCAAAAUUUAAAAUUUACAACCCCUUUGACUUUAUGUUUCAGGAAAUUUGAUUUUGAGAUCUAAUUUUAGAAUAACAAAUAGCCCUACACAGAGUGCCCCAAAUAUUCUGGGUUUCUCAAGGAGUUGUAAUUUCAGCACUUCUCUAUGAAAAUCUAAAUAUACAAUCUUUCAUUCCUAUUUUCGAUAAAUGACUUAUAUAAAUUCUCUGAAAAUCAACAUUAAAAUCUUAUGCAGAACCAUUAUUUAACCUGCCAAGAAGGCAAAAUUUACCAUAAGUACUUCAUAAGAGCUCAAGGAUUUUUAUAAAGACCAAAAUAAAUCUGUAAAGUAUAGAUGCACAUAAACAUGAUGUUAUUUUAAACUACUUGAAAAGAAAAUCAUUUUCCAUAUUUGUACUCUUCCCAGAGCCCACACUAAUGUUCCUAAGGCUGGCAACCACCCGAACAACCAUUCCAUAAAGAACUCGAGGGUUGGCUCUGUUCUCUGCUCAGAAGACAGCAUCCAGCCCAACUUUGGGCACAGCUCAGCCCUUAAAGCAAGUUUUAAUAUUGCUUCAUCUUUUCCUUACUUUCCAUUCCAGAAUGAGAUCUUACUGCAUAGUUUCAGCAUCAUUUCUCUUUUACUUUGUGAUUAAAAAAAACACAAAACCCAGCUGAGCAGAAUAUAACAACCUAUGCCUUGAAGUUAGUCAAAACUCCAAUAUUUUUGCUGGCAGAGCUCCUGACAUUCAGACAUUUGGAACUUUGGGGUUAUUGUAUUCAAUUUUCCCCAGGCCACUUCUAAAACUUUUAUUUGGUGCCAUGGAUUCAAGUUCUCCAGUAUGUUCUUUUCUGGUGCCACUCAUUUCACAAGUACUCCUCUUGCCUCUGUGACAAGACUUUAACUGUUUGAAAGAGGAUUCUACCAUGUCACAUAGUGUUCUUGAAUCCCACUAUGGCUACAACUAAGUUAGAUAAUGGAUAGACCAUUAAUAAAUGCUAGAUGACUUAGCAAAGAAAGGUGAGUGGUGUCUCAUGAAACUUGGAGGGAUACUAGUAGAAUAGAGGUAAGGGACUUGGGGAGGGAAGAGGGGAGAGAAAGGGGACAUACUGGGGAAUGAUAUUGGGCAAAUUAGAUUGUUAUGUUGUGUGUAUGCACAAAUAGGUGACAACGAAUCCACCAUUAUAUACAACUAUCAAACACCAAUAAAAAUAUGGAAAAAAACAAAGUAAAGUAAAAAAAAUAGUAGAUGACUUGAAAUGAAUCCUUUUAUUUGGAUAUGUUGUUAAAUAUCUCUUUCUGGUUAAUUUACUAAGAGACUCCAUUUAAGCAAAUGAAUUUUUUUAAAUUUCAUUAUCAUGGAAGAUUUAGAGGGAAGUAUAGCGAAUUCCCAUGUAACCAUUACCAGCUUCAAUAAUUAUCAACUCGUGGACAAACCUACUUUUCAUAGAUUUUUUUUCAAUUAAUAGAUUAUUUUUUUUAACAAUUUUAGGUUCAUGGAAAAAUUAAGUGGAAAGCCCAGAGUUUUAAAAUACUCCCCACCCAGUUUUCCAUUAUUAAUAUUGCAUAUUAGUGUGAAACAUUUGUUACAAAAUUGGUGAGCAACUAUUGAAGCAGUACAAUUGAAAUUAGGAUUCACUCUUUGUGCAUUCUAUGGGUUUUGACAAAUAUAUUGCCAUAUCAUACAGAAUAGUUUUACCAAGUAUUUUUUUUAAGAGAGAGAGAGAGAGAGAGAGAGAGAGAUUUUUUAAAUAUUUAGUUUUUAGUUUUUGGCGGACACAACAUCUUUGUUUGUAUGUGGUGCUGAGGAUCGAACCCGUGCCGCACGCAUGCCAGGCGAGUGCACUACCGCUUGAGCCACAUUCCCAGCCCUUACCAAGUAUUUUUAAAAUAUAAUUGUGUCUUGCUUGUGGACAGGUAUACUUUCAGAAAUGCAUUCUUUCAUUGCACCUAUAUCAUAAAAUAUACUUAAACAAACCUAGAUGAUGUAGGCCAAUCAUUGGACAUGAAGUCAAGGGACAUAGUACAUAAUGAGCUAUACUAUAUUCUGUCUGUGUAACUUGCAUACUGUUCUACAAUAAAUAUUUUUUUAUGUAUAAAAAGAGAAGGUGUCCACUCUAAAAGUAUAGUCUAAUGAAUAAAUGAAUCAGUAGAAUAGUUGUCACUCAUUAUCAAGUAUUAUGCACUAUACUUAAAUGUAUGUAUGAUACUUUUAGGCAACUGGCAGCACAGUAGGUUGAUUUACAAGAAAAUCACCAUAAACACAUAUGUAAUGCAUGUACUAUGACAUUACAAUGACUAUGAUGUCACUAGGUGACAGGAAUUUUUCAGCCCCAUUAUAAACUUACAGGACACGGUCAUAUAUAUGCUCGCUUGUUGACCAGAAGGUUGCUAUGUUGUGUGUAUGUUGCUAUAACUAACCCCUCUCUACCUCAGGGCAAGUUAUAUUUACACAAUUAAAGAUGUUUCUAUUCAAAUUAAAUUCAAAUUUUAUGCUUAUUGUGCUGAAUUCACAUAUACUGUGCCAUUCAGUUCACACAGUCUUCUCCUCCCAUAGUAAUUUUUAUCUUCCAUUUCUAAGAUAUUGAAGGUCAGGAAGGUUAAAUAGCUUUUCCAAAGGUCAAAUAGCUAGUCAGGGGCAAAGAUUCCAGCUUAGAUUAAAUAGGAAUAAUUCAUGCUGCUAAAUUUGUGACUUGUUAAAUGAUAGAAAUGCUAAAAAUAGUCCUUUCUACCAUUUGCAGAGCAAUUAAGCAUGUAGCUGAAAGAAGAGCCAGAUGGCAUCUGCCUUCCCAGGAGUAAGGUUGCUUAUCCUAUGGUGGAGCAAUGAUCUGAAAGUGGAAUUGAGGGUGAUGCUUGGUGCCUAGACACACCUCCCUUGUGUUAUGUGCCCUGUGUAUAUGUGCAAGAGUAAACAACUGCAAGAGGAGUGCUGGACCUAUUGAGAGCCAGGGUCCAAUCAGGCCAAGGAGCUGGAGGAGGGGGCAUACUGUAUGUGCCAUGGUAUAAGAGGAUCCAUAUGGUACAGAGGAAAAAAUGAUGAGGGAAAAAGGAGCAGUUGGAAGUUGCAGAGGGGAAAGGAAGCACAAAGCAAAUCAUAUGGAUGAGCACAGAAACCAGAGAAGCUUAUGUAUCAGCUAGUAAUUAAGGAUAAAGUGAGCGCAAGGAAUGAUGGGUUUAACUGACUACCAGGUUUUCAAAGAAUGCCCCCCAUUAGCCCCCAGCAAGUGUUGGAGGGGGACAGUCCCACUCUGUCCUGAAUGUUUGGGGUCAAUAACAUGCUCUGUGGUUGCUCAGGGAGGAAGCUGGUGCAGGGAAGAAGCCUGGUGCCCAGCAGCCUGGACAUGACUCAAAGAGUGGUCAUACCAGGCCCUGGUGGUUGGUAGACAGCUUUCUGGGUGCUGAGCAUGGCAUGGGGGGGGACACAUAGAUAAGUUAUUCCAUUAAAUGGUGGGGUGAUGAUUACGAAAGAAGAACAUAUGAUUUAUGAGCAGGGCAAUGACAGUGAACACAACUUUAAAAAAAAAUAUCUGUCACUUCUGAGUCGGGUGCAGGGCCAGUACUAGGACAAAAAGAAAAGACAGUUUAACUGUAUUCUUGAGUUCCCUCAUUACCUUCUUCUCCCACUUUCAAGGCUUCUUUCCUCUUUUCCCUCAUUACCAUCUGGCCAUAGCCCACUAUGAGUUUCUCCCCAGAGCAUAUUUUCAUGAUAAUGUUUUGUCCCUACAUAUCCCACAAGAAUGUACCUGUUUUAUAUCUUAUUCUAUAUUAAUAUGACUUGAUAUUCUUAAAAUUAUGGAAUAUUCAUGUUUUAAACUAUUUCCACUGCUCAUACUGUGAUUAAAUCCCCCCAUAUAGCUCUAUCAAUUGACCCUAUUAUCUGAACACAAUCAGAAACAGAAAACUCUCCACUUUAAAAUGCUGUCCACCUUUGGAUACCUGUGAUUGACAGAAAGUUCUUCUUACUGAGUUAAAAUUCUUAGCUGUCCCUCAGAGUCAUCUGUAAUACAAAUAAUUCCUAUUCUACAGGCCAUACCUUCAAAUAGCAGCCCAUCGGUUUAUUUCAUCAGUGUAGCUGCCAAAUUCUAUGUACCUCAGACACUGAAUACCAAUGCAGAAGGGUGACUUCACAAUUCCCAGAUAAGAAAUCUGUCUCUCCAUGUUAGACUCUGCACUAAUUGUGAAGAUUAAUUAAACAUUAUCAAUCCUCCCAAUACCCGCAAGAGAGAUACUGUUUUCUUUCUGCCAAUGAACAAACAAUGGCUUACAGGAAAACAUGAUUUAUCUUCAGCUCACACUGCUGUUUAAGGGCAAUGGCAGAACUGAAGUCUGGGUUCUCCAUCUUUAAGGUCUUUUCUCCAGCCAUAAUUCAAAUGAAAGUGACCCUUUUCAUUCAAUGACCCCUCUACUGGAGCAAUCGGAUGUGGAAUUUCAGAGAAAAUUUUAAGUGUGGAGGCUGAGGGACAAUUUUAAACCUACUUUUUUAAAAAUUAACAUUUCCCAAAGCACAACAUGUAAGUAGAUUAUCACCUUUGUUACUCUCAAGGCUGAGCUUAGUGUGAGAUGGUAUCUUUGUUAAGUAAGGAUAACAGAUACCAGGAGCUAUGAGAGCAAACCCUAAGAUUUCAGUGACUUAGCACCAAAGUCUAAAGCAGGUGUCCUUCUUGGGCAGGUGGUCUUCCAUGUGGUCUGUUAUGGAUUAAAAAAUUCAUAUGCUAAAGGCCAUGCAUUCAUUUGGUAGAGUACCUUCAAAUGUGACUUUUUUGUAAAUAGGAUUGUUAUGGAUGUCAUUAGUUAAGAUGAGGUCAAACUGAAGCAGGUGGGUCCCUAAUCCAAUAAGAUUGCUUUCCUUAUAAAAUUGGACACAGGCAGAGAGAAUGUGAUAUGAACAUAAAGAUGGUUGCCUAUAAGUUAAGAGAGAGGCCUAGACAGCCUUCAUAAGGAACCCAUUCCACCAACACCUUGACUUCAAACUUCCAGCCUCUGAAACCAUGAGGUAGUAAGUUUCUGUUAAGCACCCAAUUUAUUUAUUUAUUUAUUUUUUAAUUUUUUUUAUUGGUUGUUCAAAACAUUAUAAAGCUCUUGACAUAUCAUAUUUCAUACAUUAGAUUCAAGUUGGUUAUGAACUCCCAAUUUUACCCCAAAUACAGAUUGCAGAAUCACAUCGGUUACACAUCCACAUUUUUACAUAAUGCCCUAUUAGAAACUGUUGUAUUCUGCUACUUUUCCUAUCCUCUACCAUCCCCCCUCCCUCCCCUCCCAUCUUCUCUCUCUACCCCAUCCACUGUAAUUCAUAUCUCUCCUUGUUUAUUUUCCCAUUCCCCUCACAACCUCUUAUAUGUAAUUUUGUAUAACAAUGAGGGUCUCCCUCCAUUACCAUGCAAUUUCCCUUUUCUCUCCCUUUCCAUCCCACCUCAUGUAUCUGUUUAACGUUAAUCUUUUCUUCCUGCUCUUCCUCCCUGCUCUGUUCUUAGUUGCUCUCAUUAUAUCAAAGAAGACAUUUGAUAUUUGUUUCUUAGGGAUUAAGCCACCCAAUUUAUGACACUCUUCUUUGGCAUUUCUACCAAAUGAAUGCAUGGCCUCAUAGAUCCAUCUUCUCAUUUGGUGGCUCUACCAUUAUCUACAACCUCAGAGUUCUUUACUAGAACUUCUGUGUUUGGCCAGUAGAUGAAGAAGAGCAUAUGGAAGGUCAUAUGGGAUUCUAUGGAAAAAGGCAUGGAGUGACAUCAAUGUCAUCUGCCCACACUUCUUUGGUAAGAAGUCAGUCAGUGGCCAAACCUAAUUGUAAGAGAAUCUGGGAAAUAUAGGCUGUCCAUGUGUCUGGGCUGGAGAAAACAGACAUCAGUAAACACAUAGCAGUCCUUGCCCUGGUAACUUACAGUACAAAGAUAUUAGAGGAAAGAGGCCACUGCUAGGCAGCCUGUAUAUAAAUAUAUAAGAAGCCUAUAUAUUUGCCAGCUCUGAAAUGGGUAUGAAGAAUAUUGCAGGAAGCUGAAAGAAACUGAUUUGCUUCCUUUAAGAAACUUGGCUGAUGAGAACCUAUGAAAGAAAAAUGAAGAAUUCCUGAUUUCAGAUUAUUGUAGUUGUUGCUGUUUGGUUUGUUUAUUUUUGUGCUGGGAAUUGAAUCCCUUUGUACUCAAGUGCUAAGCUCAUGUUCUACCACUGAGCUAUAUAUCUUCAGCCCAGGAAAAGUUUCUUAGAGGAAGAGAUAUUGAAUGAAAAUAGGAAAGAGCUACUGGUCUUCAGUCCUUUCUCCACAAUUCCAAAAUCCAACAAGCUCUAAAAAUCAAGUUUUUUUUGUUUAAAUAAAAAGUUGUUUGGUAAGAAAAUCAACCUAAUAUUGAUAACAUUUGAUGAAAAAGCCUGAUCUGAAUGGACAUAAAGCAACCUUUAUUCUCUGUUGCACUUUUUAUGAAUAUUUAUACAUUUUGCUAAGGAGAUUUUGAUAUGUUUUACUGCCAAAAUUGAUCAAGAAACAGUAUUGCUAAGAUGCCAGACAGAACCACCAGAGAAUUGAAAUAAAGGGUGAAUUUUAAUGAGAACAAAGGAUGCCACAAAUCUCCAGUAUAUCUCUCAUUCACCCAGAUUUAUGGACAUCUUAAAUAUUUAUUAUUCUCAUGGUUCUAAUAGUUGAAUAAUUUUUAUACCUCUGACAUCAAAGAGCAAUCAAUUUCUGGAUCUAUAGAAACAGGAAUUGGGUAAUUAUGGGAGCAACAUUGAAAGUAGCAAUUUUGGUGGCUGUUGCAAUAAAUCUGUGAGCCACGUUGACACAGAAUGGACUGAGGAUCCAAGCUUUGUGUUGAUUGGGAAGUUGGAGACAAAGAUCAUUAUCUGGGCCAUUUUGAUAGUGGGUUGUCUUCUCCUCAAUAACUGAGACACGGGAGAAAAAUAACACUGUUCACAGCUUCUGAGGUGUUCUACUUUCUCACCUUUCCAUAGAUAACACUUGGAACCCACCAUAAAAGGAAAUGUUAGUUUCAGUCUCUCAUUUAUGAGACUUGCACUCACAAAUGAGCAAUAAGGAGAGCAGAGCCACCUUGUUCUUCAAAUAAGGACAUCUGGGAAGUGCCUGAUAUGGAGUGGUAUUGUCGAGCAGUGCUCUCUGUGGGGGUGGCAGUGUACUAUGACCUGUGUUCAACAAUACAGUAGUCAUGACUCCCUUGUGUGUGGAGCUUUGCACUGAAAUAUGGAUAGAAUAGUAGAGGAAUUGAAUAUUUCAUCUAACUUUAGUAAAUUUAUAUUUAAAAUUUUAUAGCCCCAUGAGUUUAUUUUUUGGCUCCUGAUCCUGGAGACUGGAAGCCCAGGAUCACAGUAUUGGCAUCUUCUUGGUUUCUGGUGAGGGCCUUGUUUUGCAUCAUAACAUGGCGGAAAAAUGAAUGUCAAGCCUUGCAUGCAGAAGACAGAAAACAAGGAAUGGCGUUGUUUUAUAAGAGCCCACUCUUGAGGUAACUGAUCUAAGCCCUCAUGAACAGCAUUAAUCUACUCCUGAGGAUGGGGACUUCCAUGACCUAGUAGCCUCUUAAGUCCCACCAACUCUUAAUACUUCUACAUGGGGACUAAUUUUCCAACCACAAAUUCUGGGGAACAUAUUCAAGCCAUAGUACUCUCUUAGCUCUAUAUUCUCUGCUCUCAGUUUGUUCUUCCUUCUCCUCUUAGCCAAGUAGGAAAAGAAAAAAAUUUAUGAAGCAAGACAUGUACACUGGCAUGUUGAAAAGCCUGUUUGACGUUUCUUUGGCUAAAAUGUAGUCAUUCCACGUAACUUGGUGGGAUUUGUUUACUUCAGACUUUAGCCUUUUCCUGGUGACCAUCAGGGAUGUUCUUUUUAAAGCCAGGGACACAUUCAAUUUAUCCCUGUGUGGCAGAGUGCCUGGUACUUAGCAGACAUUUGCUAAAUGUGGGUUGCAUCACAUAGCUCAUCACUGUCAUACAAUGUUUAAGUUUACUUGGUAAAUACUGAGUAAUACAGCUCUGCAGAUACUUUGCAAACUCUUCCUGAUGCAACCUAAUUGAAGCCAGACAGUAAGUCAGUCCAAGUUUAUGGAGACAUAGUUUAAAAUUGGACACUGAACGGAGUGAAAGUGGAGCUGAACAGCAGGCAUAUAAUGUGACUUCUCUACAGGUGUAAAAGGUGGAUACAGCACGCCACUUUAAGCAGUGUCAGUGACAAUCACUCCCAAAUAUUUUGCAUUUGACCUCAGAAAGAAGCCCACAAGGAGGAGUCUCAAAGUCUUCCUUAGCAUUGAGUUCUAAGUCAGGGAAACUGAAUAAAUUUAGCCAUUUAAGUCUCCUGAAGGCUUUCCCAUUAAAAGAAAAGACCAAAUUCUAAAGACUUUCUCAAAUAAGUAUUCAAUAAUUAGAACACCAUAGAUUUUUUUUCCUUUGAGAAUUAUUUUUCUGAAAAUCUAUAUUAUUUUUUUCUAGUAAUUAUAAGAAUUUCUAAUUUCUCAAUUAAAAUCUUAAUCCCUGGAAUGAUUUAUAAAUGAAAAACAAAUUGCAAUGUGUCUGCUAAUAUCUUAUGGGUGGGGAGUUCUCCAACUGUGAUCAAACCUCUAGAUUUCAAAUUCCUUCUUUGUUAUCUACUAUCAAAUUUGUGAGAAGGGAACUAGGAAAGAUUCCUGGCGAUGCUGGAAAUUCUGUCAUUCAAUGGUUGAAUUUGCAGCUGUCUAACCCUGAUUCAUUUUAGAGUCACUUAACGGCACAUUUGAGUCUCAAGAUGUUUUCUGUAGACCCUCUGGGCAAGUCUGAUAUCAUGUGUUUAUAUUUGCAAAUAACAUACAUAAAAAUUUCUGUAUAUAUAGACAAGAUGGUGGACCUUGUGCAAAAUAAGAGAAUUUCAGCAAUAGUAAAUGACAUCAUGUAAUGGCUAACUUUUUGAAUAGUCAACAACAAAAAACAUCACAAAUGCUAGAGGCAAUUUUUGUUUAAUCUUUAUUUAUUUUUAUGUGGUGCUGAGGAUUGAGCCCAGUGCCUUACAUGUGUGAGGCAGGUGCUCUACCACUGAGCCACAACCCCAGCCGGAGGCAAUUUUUAUUAUCUCAGACAGUAGAAGGAGAAAGUUCGGCUUUAUGAAAUGUCUUAAUCCACCUUGGCCAUUCACAAUUCAUCGUUGUUGGAUGCCUCAGACAAUCAGAAGAAGAUAGGAAACAGAGUUCUCUCCUACACAACUUCCCUACCAACAAGUUUCAGACUGGAUUCUGACAUGUGUAUAAAUCCUAGUCCUACAACCAGUUCUUGUUAGGUUGGAGAAGUAAUGGUUCUCUACCUUUGUGGGAGUAAAGAUAAGCACCUUGUGUGCAAAUAGCUCCUCUACAUGAAUGCAACACAUUUUGUUGGCAGGAUCAGCUAGGUAGAUCACCCAAGAAAAUCCUCCAACAGAGAUGGAGUAGGGGACAUAGGCCUUAUUGGAAUUCUAAAUGUAGGGACUGUAUCAAAGGUAUUUGGCUACAGGGCUACUCAGAUUCAUAUAUCUUAUGCACACAAGGGAGGAAGUUUUCAAUACAAAUCUUUACAUAAAACCAUCUAUUAUAGACAUAAUAAAAAAUUCACCAAUAAAAAGCAAUUCCUAGCUGGGCACAGUGGCUCACUCCUGUAACCCCAGUGGCUUGGGAGGCUGAGGCAGGAAGACCACAAGUUCAAAGUCAGCCUUAGCAGAAUUGAGGUGCUAAGCAAUUCAGUGAUAACCUGUCUCUAAAUAAAAAAUUGGGCUGGGGAUGUGACUAAGUGGUCGAGUGCCUCUGAGUUCAAUUGUUGGUACCCUCCACCCCCCCAAAAAAAGCAAUUUCUAAUAUCCAUAUGCUACAUAAUCAGCUUUCUGGGAGUAUCUGUAUGUGUGUGUGUGUAUGUAUGUGUGUGUGUGUGUGUGUGUGUGUGUGUGUGUGUAUAUAUAUAUAUAUAUAUAUAUAUAUAUAUAUAUAUAUAUAUAGUAUUAUUCCAUGCAGUUGCUACUGGAGUACAGACUCAUUAGGAUCCUUUCAGUUUCAACUAAUUGCCUAUGGACUAUGGAUCUCUGAUUGAAGCACUUCAGAUCUUAUUUAAGUUCCCAGGGAGUGUAAUGAGGACAUACAGAUAUUUCAAAUAAAUCACAGAGAUAUAAAAAAUGACUGGAAGAAUGAAAACUAGGGCUGAGAAAUCAACAGUUUGCAAAGAUCUGGUUUAAAGAUUUGGGAAGAUGUCUUAUUAUCCACUUGUCUUGAGGUUUUCCUUCACACUGUGGUCUCAUUUAUCUUCCUGUCAGAUCAUUCGUUCGACCACUUUUCAUGUAAGGAAGAACUAUGCUUCCAAGCCAGGUUGCCUAGGGUUGGAGCCUUGCUCUGCCUCUUAUCUUGUCAUGGUCUGACUACUCAAUGCCUUCAUUUCCUUACCUGAAACAAGAGGAUAAUAAGAUGCCUAUGCUAUUAGGUUGUUCUGAGGAUAGGAAGUAACUCAAAUAAAAGGUCUGGCACUGUGCCUCACACUUAAUAUUCAAUAAAUGUUUAAAGAAAAUCAAAUACAUAUCUGCAGGAAGGGACCAUGUUAGGCAGAAGCAUACAGGAUAAAGUGCAGUGCCUAGUACCAAGGAGCUCACCACCUGAGGGGACACCCAUGAGGAAGCAGAAACAGCACAGUGGGUCAGUCCUAUGCAAAAGGUAUGCAAAAUGCAGGACCAGGGUAAACUGUCAAUCACCAUCAAACAUCACAUUGAUUCAUCAAGGCCACUAGACAUUUCCAAUAUGUAAGAGGAAGCUCAAGAUACCUUGUCAUUAUUGGUGUUACAGAGAGUAAAUCCUAGCUUAGGCUAUACUUAAAAAUAAUCUAUACAAAAGGAUAUUUUAUUUUAAAUGUUCUACAUUAAAAUGUUGUCUCCUUGGAUGCUGAAAAUAUUUUCCAGGGCCCCUUUCCAGUUAGGAAUGAGACUACUGUUAACAGUCCAACAAUUAACUAUGUACAGUUGGCCUUCAUGUACUAAAUAUAGUUAUUGAGCCCAAAUCUAUAAUUGCCAAACAUUUCACCAGCUACAAACACAAGAAAAAAUAGUAUUAAGAAAUCAUGGAUUUUAGAAAGAACAGAAAGUUUUAAUUUUUUAUUUCUUUGUUUAUUCCUUAUUUUAAUAGGUUAUUUGAGUUUUAACAGCAAAGCUCAGUAUUUAUUCCUUGCCAACUGUGGGUAUACACUAUUUCAAUGUGUGAAAAUGAGCCAUUUCAGAAGAAAUGGACAAUUUAAUAAAUAAUACAUGUAUAAGUUUUAAAUCUUGGGAAAGAAGAUUUUUUUUUUUGUACUGGGUAUUAAGCCUGGAGGCAGUUUACCAGUAAGCUAUAUCACCAUCCCUUUUUAUUUUAUUUUGAGACAGGUUCUCACUAAGUUGCUUAGAACCUCACUAAAUUGCUGAGGCUGGCUUUGAACUUAUGAUCCUCCUGCCUCAGCUUCCCUAGUUGAUAGUCACGUGCCACCAUACCCAGCCAAGAAGAUUAGUUUUAAAGGCAUAAGAAAUGCAUGUUUUGGGUCUUAUAAGGUUAUUCAUAGUAUAAUUCAAAUCCAUAUAUGCUUCUUUAAUGGAUCAAUAAAUUUUCUUUAAAAUAUUUAGGGCUAUGGGGUGGGAUUUAGGUGUAUUUGAAGGAAGUGAAAAACUGUAAAGACCAAAAGGUUAAAAGAAGAUGCAAAUAGAGCCCAAACUCGUUUUCAUUGGGAAAUAUUAUAAAAUCUGGAAAUGUUUCUGUGUUCACGAAGGUGAGGAAAAAAUUAUAGUUCAAAUCAUUUAACAGCAGAAAACAUAAUUGACUUCCAUCUUAAAAUACAUAAUUGGCUAUAUUAAUAUGGUCCAUUAGUAUCCACAUUUUAUACCUGCCUGUUCAUCAGAAUAUCAACCUGACUGCAUUUGCUCUCAGAUAUUUCAUUUUCACAGAGAUUCAUAAAUGGAGAACGAAAUCAUAACUCUCUUCCUUUGCAAAAUUAUAUCUUACAUGUCUCUCUUGUUUAUUUCACCUGUGAAGGUAAUUUGAGAGAGGAAUUAAGAGAUGUUCCCAAAUAGAUCAAAUACAGAAAUGAAUUUCAUUAUUUUCAGUCUCUUUUAGUUUUAUAUUGAACAACAUAUUAAUCAUUUGGAAAAGAAUUUUUUUUAUCAAUAACCUUGAAAAAGAACACAGACCAUGAGUUCUUUCUAAACCAUAGUCCAUUUGGCUUUAAAGAAUAUCUGACUAUAACUACUAUGCACACAGUGAUACAUAUACAUUUCUUCUAUUUUAUAGAUUAAAUUUAAACAUCAGCUUUUUAAAUCACCCACACACCAGAUUAUCAAAAAAGUUCAGUCUCUUACUCUUCAGACUACUCUUUUUCUUGCAAUAUCAAAGAACCCCCAGAGCAAGCACAGUCUAAUAGAGGACCUGUCCGACCUCCACAUAUAAGCAAGGUCAGACAUUUAUUGCCACAGCUUCUCACCAACACGUAGUGUCACUGAAAACAAUUUGUAUCAUAAAAUCGAAUGGGUAAUGGGAAAUGUUUCUGGGCCAAGUCUAUGGUGAUAGAUGGAAGAAGCUGGAAGCCUCUGAGAAAGCUUGUUCUACCAUUUUGGAUCUCACAAGAGACUAGUUCUCUUCCUCAGAUGAAUCUGUAGGCCAGGAUCCCCUCAUGUGAGUUCCCAGGUUCACAGUUCAGUUUUAAACUAGUCUCCAAGGCACCAGGAAACCCUGGAGUGCUGUGAUAAGGGCCUAAUAGUCCACCAUUUUUCCCAUCCCUUUGGUCUUCCUGAGGAUUUAAAUGCCAAUAGAAGCUGGGAAGCUUCUCAUUUUCAGACCCUCAUCACAACAGGCUUUCAUGCUCCAUUUGGGUCCCAGAUACUCACAGCAGUAAAGAUCUCCAUAUAUUUCUCUGUCUUUAUCUAGCCUUAGCCUUGAUUACUCCAGGAGGGGGUACAGCUCUAUCUUUUUUUGUGGGGAAGAAGGCAUGUUCAUGCAGAUAGUGAUUUACUCAAGAGCAAAAGCAAAACAAGACAAAAAACAAAUGCCGAAAUAAAUUUUAAAAAUAUAUGCAUAAGCAAAAUUUUGAAGGGGGCAUCCCACAUCAUUUAGAUUCAAUAAUGGGUGAUUAUUUGCUCUAUUCCUCCUUAGCAAUAGCAGGUAGGUCCAUCUUUCCUUUGGUAGAUAUCUUAGUCUUCUCAGGCUGGUAUAACAAAAUACUAUAGACUGGUGGCUUAAAUAAUAGAAAUUUAUUUUCUUGUGGUUCUGAAGGUUCAAGUCCAAGGUCAAGGUACCAGCAUGCUUUGGUUUCUGGUGAGGGCUCUCUUUCUGGCUUCAGACAGAUGCCUUCCUCUGUGCUCUCAUAUAGGAGAGCUAUUAAGCACAAGCUUUAUACUUAUGACCUCAUCUAACUCUAAUUUAUCACCGAAUGGACAUCUCAAGAAACCAUCACAUUGGGGUUAGAGCUUCAACAUAUUAAUUUGGGGGCAGAGAACAGCCAGACAUUCAGUCCUCACCAGUAGAUAAGCCUUAUUACCAUUGUUUUCUUGGAUAACAUUCAGAAGAUAUUCCCUUUUUAAGAUUUGUUGUAUUUCUUUUCUUUUUUGGUACCUGGAAGAUUUAUUGUAUUUCUGAAUUGCAUUACUUCAAUAAUGAAACUGACCAACAAUAGAAUUUGUAUUGUUUGAUCAUUAAUAUUUUGAGAACUUUAGAAAACAAUACAUAUUUUUAUCCAAAUCAACUCAGCUUCAGCUUUUAUCUUUUUCCACUUAUUGCAUAUUGUCAAACAUGGAAUUUUAGGGAAAGAUCAGAAAAUAACAUUUGUAUAUGGAAAAUACAUAAAUAUAUAUCCAUACAUGUAUUAUUUAUUUUAGGGUAGUUAAAAACAGAAGUCACAAAAUAUAUUUAACAUUCUGAGAUUUUUCAGACAUUUCUAUAACUAAAUAAAUAUAAAAAUUUUUAUAUCCAAGAAUUCUAAGGUUUUCUUCAUCAUGACUAAAGUUAUCUGAAAUUUCACUUGUGUAUAAUUUCUAUUUUACAGGUUUUAUGGAGGACAACAAUAUAAUCAUCUCUUAAGAUGUGAAACAAGAUUCAUGACUGAUUAUAAUAUUUAAUAUUAAUACUAAAAUUAAAUCACUACUACCCAAAGCUGAUAGAAAAUGACCAGUAGCAACAUAGUCAAAUUUUUAUCUAUAUUUAUACAAUAUUUUGACAACUGAAAUAAUAAUAUUAUCACUUUAAGUAAUGAGACUUUCAGAUAACUUAAAAUAUAAGUUGCUUCUUUGGGCCUCCUUCCUGAGAUAUAUAGAAUCAUCAUAAUGAAUUCUUCUAUAUAUACACUGGCAGAAAUAAUAGCAUGAUAUCAAAUGUAAAAUGUCUCAGUUACUGCAGAAACCAAGGAAGAAGGAAAGAAGAUCAUCACUUUUUUUUUUUUUUUUUUUUUUAGGUAGGUAAGUAUCCUUCUGGAAGUUUUUAUAGCCACUGUGCUAUUUAAACUCUUACAGUUUUCCCAUCUGGGAGGGAAUGCUCACACUGUGGCAUUAAGUGGGUACUGCCCAAUGUGAAGGGCCAGGAGAUCUGAGUUGCCAACCUGUUUCAUGUACACUUUAGUGUGUCUGGGUGUAUUUUUAGUUUUAUAUAAAGGAAGAAAGCGUCCCUGCAGCUUUUUUAAAAAUGGGCUGGAGAUAUUUUUCUAUACUGUAAGUCUUUCAAUUAUUCCUAAAGAGUUGAAGUAUUUCAUCUUGUAGAACAAUUACUAAUGCUUAAGCCUGCCUGGUAUAGAAGAGGUGGUGCUGAUUAGUGGGAGGACCUUCACACAUAUCAUCUGAGAUGUGCUAGGAACUCUAGUGGGAAACCUUGAUUUUAAACCCUGUGAAGAUUUUCUGUGCUCCCUGUCCUUCUAUGCACUGUGCUUAGGAACACAGAGGCAGAGGGAGCUGAGGAGACAACAUUUCUACUUCCAGUCUUGGGGAAAAAAAGGGCGACCAAGGGUAGCAUAUGGUGUAAACAGCAAGAGAGAAAGAGAUGGGGAAUGACAGUGAAUGAGGGCCUACUGCAUGCCAGGCUCUACCCUGACACUCUGUCUGUACACAUUAUCCCAUUUAGAGAACACAACAAAUCUAUGAGGUGUACAUAUUAUUAAUCUAACUUUCAGAGGCAAAAAUUGAGACUUAGCAUCACCCAAGGUCACACUGGGGUUGGAACUUCAAUCUGCCUGAUUGCAAAACCUGCAACCUAUUUGUUGUAUUAUACAAACCAAUAUGCAUCUUCUGAAACUCAGACACUGUUUUCCCAUCAGAAUAAAGCCAUUUUAUUUCUACUGCUGAUUAUAUCCUCCUGUAGCAAAUGGUUUUUUACUUCUUUAAAAGAUGGUACAUCAACUUGAAUUUAAGCUUCAGAAUAUGAGCCAUUACCAUAAAACAAACGCUGCUUGAAGUUCUGAAAAUGGAACUUGCCGCAGUCUGGCUGGGCACACAAUCACGAGCCACCACACAGCNAGGUCACCUACGUUCAAUGUCACUGCAACAUGGGGUACGCUGGCAAGGAAAUUGUCAUACCUACUUGGCUAAUGGCUCCCAGCAGGAACUAGCCAGGGAAACUGUAGAUUCAGGAUUUUUUUCCCAUAGAAAUUCAUAUUUUUGUGACUGUCAUUGAAAUAUAUGUAAAGAAAUGAUAGAUUUGGGUUUGGUUGUAACUUCUCUAAUUUUUAGAAGAAUUUUCAUUCUACUUCAUAUCAAGCUGUGCAUUUCAUGACCAUAAUUUAGAUACUGCCAGUGGUCUCAGAGUGAAAUUUCAAAUGCAGCCUUAACAUACUGCUAUGUUUUAUGGCAAAAGAUAAAUUCAGAGUUUUGUUUCUCAUCCCAGAAGCUUAUGUACAUCUCACACACAUUUCUAGGCCUUGAUGCUGGUUGCUUCUGGGCCUGUCACCUCAUCUUAAAAUGCGUGCCUCUGUCAGUCUCUCUGCUUUCUGAGAUUCUGCACCCAGCUUUCUCUGCUGGGCUAAUGCUGCCUUAGUUCUUCCCUCCUCCAGGAAACCAUAUCACAGCUCAUUUGAAUGUAAUCUCUGGCGACAGCAUUUGAGCUUGCCUUUGGGUGGAGGUCACGGCUAAUGUCUUAGCUUCUGUGCUUCCUGUUGGUUUGUGGUUGAGAGGAUAAUGGUCCUGAAUUUCCCUUUAAUUCUUCUUCACUGCAAGAUUGUCACUCUAUGACAGAGCAUCUUGAUGAAAAAAAAAAAAAAAGCUAAGUAAUGAGAAAAAAGCAAUUCCAUUCUUCCUGUAACCAGAGAGACAACAUGGUACAGAGGACAGGACCCAGGACUCCAGCCAUUCAAAUGCACCCUGUCUUUCUCCACCAAGACUUGAGGCAACACUUGAGUCUUUUGUCACUAACUAGUUCUGUACUGUUGGAAUAGCUACUUAAUCUUUCUUUUUUCCAGUUUCAUUUUUUUAACUUCUAAAUUUUUUUAAUUUGCUCAUUAUAUUUAUACAUAAUUGUUGGAUUCAUUAUGCCGUACUUGGACAUGCACAUAACACAAUUUGAUUAAUUUCAUUGCCUGGCACCUUCUCUUUUUCUUCCUCUCUCACCCUAAUCCACUUGUUCUACUUUACUGAUUUCCCUUGUAUUAUCAUUAUUAUUUUGGUGUAUUACAAUUAUAAAUGUGAUAUUCAUUGUAGUAUAUUCAUACAUGGAUAUAGAAUAAUUUCAUAGAUUUUGUUCCCCAGUAUUUUCCCCAUGCCUUCUCCCUCUCCCUCCCUCUCAAUUCCCUUUAUCUACUCUCUUGAUCUCUCCUAUUCAUAAGAUUCCCCCCAUUUUUUCUUAUUCCUUUCUUUUCUUCUCUUGAGCUUCUGCAUAUGACACUUGACUUUCUGAGUCUGACUUAUUUCACUUAACAUGAUGUUCUCUGGUCCCAUCCAUUUAGCAGCAGCAAAUGAUGUAAUUUCAUUAUAAGUAAGUAAAUAUAUAUAUAUUCAUUCAUCUGUUGAUUGGCUGGUUCCAUAAUUUGACUUUUGUGAAUUGUGCUGUUAUAUACACAGGUGUGCAUGUAUCACUAUUGUAUGACAGUUUUUGUUCUUUGGGAUAAAUAUCAAGGAGUGGAAUAAAUGGGUCAUUUGGUGGUUCCAUGCUUUCCAAAGGAGUUAUGCUAAUUCACAGUUGCACCCACUACUUAAUCUUUGUGGCUCAAUUUUUUUCAUCAACAUAAAGUAAUAAUAAAACACCUUCUCUGUUUUUAGUUUGGUGUAAGAUUGAAACGAGCUAGUGUGUGUGAGGGUGCAUUGUGAAAUACAGAGCACUAUUCAAAACUCCAAACUACUGUAGUGUGACCCAUUCCAACCUUCAACAGCCCUUCCUGUUUCCCUUACUCAUUUGGCACUGAAUCAGAUACUGCUAUAAUUAGGGUAAGCCACGCAUCCUAGUUCUCCAGGAGCUCCCCCAAUUUCAGUAACAAAAGUCCUGGAUCCUAGAAACCCUUCAGCCCAGGACAGACCAAUAUGUUUAGUUGCCCCAGAAAUAAUGAAGUGACUUGGUUAAAAAAAAAAAAAAAAAGCUGAUUAAUGCUAAAAUAUCCCUUAUCCCCACACACCCUCUUUCAGAAAGAAGCCAGGAAGGUGUUUCCAUAUACUCAAGCUGUGCUCACAUUAUCCUCUCUAAAGCAAAGAAGGCUUUUCUGAGAAGGGUGAAUGGAGAUGUCAUCAUAACUGAUAUUUAGUGAUAUAUUAAUAAGGAAACUGAGCACAGGUGGGUAUUCAGGAUACCUCCCUUAAAACCAGGCCUGACUCUCUUUUCUGUGCCCACCAGUAGGUUCUGGUGUUCUAUUUUGAUGAGAGAUCCCAGGGCCUGCUUUCCCAGCCCUCUCUCUUCCCACUUACAGCCAAGGAUCUCUUUAGCGUUUUUUGUUCUUGUACACAGUCCUGUGAAACGUUGAGUCCUGCUGAGAUGAUAUAACACGGUCACCUGUUGUUUUGUUUUUGUUUUUUUUCUUUUUGUUUGCUUUUUGGUUUUUUAAUCCAGAGUCUAUAAAGCAAUUAUCUUUACCUAACUGCAGGCUCCCACACUGGGUCUAGUCAGCUCCUUGAUUCCAGCCCACACACUCCCUUCCUCCCACCUGGAGGGAAUGACUAGUGGUGCAGCCAGGUACCUCCCCUGCUGCAGUGACCUCCUACCCCACUGGAGAUACAGCCUAAUCAAAGGCCUGUUGUUUUCUUUUGGCUCUUGAAUUCACAGGCUUGCAGGUAUACCUGCAGCAUAGUCACAGACACCAAAAAAAAAAUAAAUAAAUAACAAAAAAAAGACAGAUCCAGUCCGUAGCACAGCAGAUUAUGGGGAAGAGAAAACAUCAAAUACUAUAAAAUGGCAGUAGCCGAAUAAACACCUCUCUCUGAAUCUCAUGGAAGAAAGAAUUGAGACCUCCAGGGAUCAGAAGAGAUUUCAGUAGCUCAGAAACUAUUAAUGAUGGUCAAGCAAUCCAAGAACUGGCCAAACAAGCUGGACUGCUUUCCUAUGAGUCAUUAGCAUUACCACAGGCAUGUGAUGAGCUGGGGCCCAUUUGCUCUAGGUCCCUCUCACCUGUGGGAAACAUGCUUUUAAAAUGGAGAGUUGUCAUCAUCACCAGGCCUCAGUUUCCUUGUGUUUACCACAGAUGGGCCCAAGUCAUGAGACCUGUCUCUUUCUUGUACUUUCAAAAUUUUUACUCCUUUGCAUAUGUAAUGAUGAGUUUUGUAGUGUAUUUUUUUUUUUACUAUUUUUCAGUUAUAAAUGGACUUUUUUUUUUUAAUUUAUACACAGUGCUGAGAAUCCAACCCAGUGCCUUGCACAUGCUAGGCAAGCACUCUACCACUGAGCCACAACCCCAGCCCCGUGGUAGUGGAUUUUUUGAAAUGCUGAUCAUCUUGACAUUGCACUAGGCCUUAGGACUUGAAGACAUUGGGAAGAGACAUAGAAAAGCCUAGGAUCUCUGGAAGGAAUGAAGUUGUUGAUGUUUUCAAAGAUUCCUUCACUUGGAGGGAUCAGUAGCAUGCUGACACAUGUCUGCCAAUAGGCAUUCUGAGGGGAAACAAAAGCAAAAACAAAACCUGAUUUGUGAGUUGGCCAAUUUCCCUAGUGUAAAUCUUCCCACCAUGACCAGUUUAGCUGGCUCCUGCACACCACUCGACAGGGAUCCUAGUUGUUUUUUUUUUUUUUUUCCCAAUGGCAAUUUCACUUGAUGGACAUUAUGAAAAAUCUUUAAAUAUACUUAUUAAUAAUAAAAAUUCAUCAAAAUAAUUUCAGUUAGAAUUUCACUCACCUUUCUUGCUUGUUCUUUAGCACUUUGGUGUCUCACUCAUACUUUCAGUACUAAGCCACUCUCCCUUUUUAUUUGAAGAUUGUUUCUUUUUGACACUUAGCUCAUGUUCCCUUUCUCUAUAUUGGGAACUUAUUUACACCUAGAUGCUCUCCUGUUUUUACCAUUUAUCUUUGCUUUUUUGUUUCUCCUUAAAUUAUUUAACACUUAUCACUCCCAAUCCUUUCUGCCCUCAAUAUGUAGCAACUCAAUGGUUCCCCAUAACUUAUAGAAUAAAAUUCAGACUCCAAAAUCUUUGUGAUUGACUUUGACCUCAGCCUCUGUCUCUAGCUUAAGGCUCUCCCAAGGAUCCCUCCAAUGAGACUUGCAAUCUGACCACUCUGAAAUUCUUGCAGCUCCUUGAAUAUGGUAUAAUGCAUUAUGUUUCCAAGCCUUUCCACAUGGAGCUUGCUCUGACCCUCUCUCCUCAUUAAACUCGUAAGUUGAGGUUUAUACUGAGCACCUCUAUGGCCACAGCAUCCAUUAUUAUCCAUAUCUCAGCAUCGGCAGUAUGACAGUCAUUAUUUAUCUACUAAGAUGUCUUCAUUUAGACUGUGGUCCAUUUGGCUCAGAAACAUUUAUCCUUAUAGUCUGACUUCUAUUAAACUGUUAUAAAACAGAUGCUCAAUAAACCCUUACUGGAAAAGAAUAAAUUAAUGAAUGAUAAUUGAGGUUGUUUCAUUUUUUAUCACAAUUUAAAUUCUAAAUUAUUAAAUCCCUUCAAUCAUUAACUGAAAAUAAUAUUCGUCAAUAUGAUAGUUAAGAAGAUUUGUUCAGUAAAAUAGAAUACAGCCAUAGCAUAGAAAUGAAAUUCAAAAUAGCGUUCCAAAAAGUGAACCAUCAAGAUGUAAGAAAAAAAAUGUGAGCAGCAUUAUCUAUUUUACAUAAAUAAAUAAAAAAGGAAUAAAUAUGUUAUAUACACAUACAAGCCUUUGAACGCAUGUGUAUUAGAAUUUUACUUUUGGUUUUGUGUCUUUUAUAUAUAUUUAUUAUUUUUACAUAAGAAAACAGUUAUAUGAGGAAAAAUCAACAGAGAUUACAUAGUGAUAGAAUUAUGGACUCAGUUUUAUUCAUUAUCCUUCCUUGUAAUUACAAAACACAAGUGACUUUUUUAAACUAAGACUAAAGGUAGCAGUAAAUUCUCCACGUCAGCAGAGUUUUCAACAUUACGUAUGAACCCGCUCCAGUAAGUGUGUUAUCUCUUUAAUUGAUAGCUUCAGUACAAUCUGUUUCCUGGUGACAGUUGCCAGGGCAUGCCUCCUUCUCUCUGUUCUUCUUCCAGCUCACUUUAAAGGCCUAAAGGCAGAAAAGACACAGUCAGGAAGGCAAGCACCGUUUUGUGUAUGUUGGCGAAAGGAGCGCUGCCUGCAUGCCUGAACAGCACGUGCCUCUGAUUUAGCCAAAGCCCCUCAAAAAGGAAUAGUUCCUUUUAAGCCUUGCAGGGAAAAUCUAGGGCACAGUCAAGGAAAUACAGUCACUACAGGCUGCAGUGACACAUACCUGUAGUUAGAGCCCCUGGGGAGGCUGAGGCAGGAGGAUUGCAAGUUUGAGGCCAAACUUGGCAACUUAGUGAGACUCCAUUUAACAUAAAAAAUACAAAGGGCUAGGUGUGUAGCUCAGUGGGAGAGUGUCCCUGGGUUCAAUCCCAGGCAAAAACAAAUUAAAAAGUCAUUAUUCUUGUUUUAAUGCUGGCCUGCACAACAGAGUUCUUAUAACUGCCUGAAAACGCAUUUACUGUCUCUCUCCACACAUAUCAUGUAUUGCUCUCAUUACCACAAAUGAAAAAAAAGGAACAGUUUACAAAAUAAUGCAUAACCCUAUUUUUAAUUGAAAUGUCUAUUUAUCAACAUUUAAAAAUUUUAAAAAGAUGCAAAUGAUAAGGUACAGUCAAAAGGUCCUGAAGGUGGACUGCUUUUCCCCAAAGACAUUCACAACAACAUUACAGGUCACAGGCAUGGACACGAGGGACUUGGAUCUUCUGUGAUGUGACAGGAUGUGACUUUGGUUUUGGUUUGAGAGUUUCCUGGCUCCAUUUUCCCAAUUUUUUUUUUUCCAGAGACACCUGUUGUCAUCAAGAACCACUGUGAAGGGAGACAUGGAGAACUGAGAAAUCCUUACAGGACUGUAAAGAUUUGGAGAUAGAUAAUACCCUGAGACUUGGGGACUGAGAUUUAAGGUUGGGGCUGAGACAUCAUUCAUCCUCUCCUCUCGCUUCCCCAACCAAGAUGGCAGCCAAUAAAGGUUGGAUACAGUGGGGAGGAGGGAGUUGUAGGCUAAGACUUCAGGAGAAAGCAAGAAGAAGGUACAAACCCCAAGGGAUUGAGCCACUGUAGCCCUGGAGGUAGGGAGUAGCUUUGGUCCACAAGAAAUGUUUUGAGUUUUCUGGAAACUUCAUAGUCUGAAAACAGACAUCACUGAGGAAAUCAUUCAGCCCAUAGAGAUUUGAGGGCCUUUGAAGUCCAAACUCUGUCUAGUUUGGGCAGGUGUUUUCUCCUUUGUGAGCACCUUGAUUCUGAUACUUUUGAAGCAAGAAGCAUUUAGGUUGUCUCCUAAAGAGGCAAAGAGAGAAAGCAAUAAAUUGACUUCUUGGUUCUGGCCCUUGGCUUAAGAGAGAGGUAUUUACCAUUUCACAACUUAUACAUGAAUCAGAACAUCAUGUUAUAUACACUAUAUAUAUAUAUAUAUAUAUAUAUAUAUAUAUAUUCCCAGUUAAAAGAAAGAGAGAAAGAAAGAAAUAUAGGCAACAAUAAGAACACUACUUUGGCAACUUCUAUGAUUGCUUCUACAGGAUUUCAACUCUGAGGAUAUUUGCUGCAGUAUUGUUUAUUAUAGCAGAAAAUCCAAACAAAUGUCAACAAUACAAUAUAUGUGUAACAAUACAUUUUGCUAUCUAAUCCAAUAAAAUACUCUAAAAUCAGAGAGAGAGGAGGGGGAAGAGAGAGUGUGUCAGAGAUGUUUAAAUGAAAUUUCUAUCUGGAGCACCCCAGAUUCUUGUCAUAUCAGCUUGGCAGACAAUGAAUUGAAACUCUAAGACCCCAACUCUGAGCAAACACUAAUUUAAAGUUCUUUUGUUUUGUAAACCUCAGCCAGAUUUUCAUUGUAAAUCGGCUUCCUGACCCAUGAUAAAAACCAUCUCUGUAACUUAUUUACAACUAAUUAGACUUAUACAUUGGCAUUUACUUCUAGUUGUAUGGCCUUAGUAACCUUCGUAUUGAUUAGGAUGCUUUUGGUUAUAAGGAAUAGGAAAUCAACUCCACCUGCUUAAAUGAUUAGGACAAGUGUUAGUUUACAUAAAAUGAAGUACAAAGGCAGGAUAAGCUUCAGAACUGGUUGAUUUAGUUGUAUAGUAAUUUUACGAAGGACCCAGGUACUGCUGUCUCUACAGUUUGCUGGGCAGGCUCCUUUAGGGUUUCAGGAUGGCUACUCAAUGUUUGGGGAUACCUCUUUCUUUAUUCCCUUAAGGUGAAAGAAAUUUCUUUCCUGUGUCUUUCUUAUGUAAAAGUGUUUUCCCAGAAGCUUCCAGAAAGUCUUUCCUCAUGUCCUAUUGACCAGAAUUGGGCCACAUGCCAUUUCUGACAAAUUCCAGGGAAGAGGGAUGAUACUGGGUUUAGACCAACUGGAAUCACUCCUGGAAUUCAGAUGCUCCUGGGCUUCAUGGGAGACAGGGAGAUACCUGAACAAAUCUGGGAUUCUAUUAAGAAGAAAGAAGUGGCAAUGAAUGCUAACUUGACACCCAAGCACCUGUACUAUUCUUCCAUUCAAGGACACUUUUCUCUUAGAUAUCAGUUUCUGUAUCUGGGUGACAUUCAUUGACUGUGUAUUGAAAUUAUUUGUAGCUAGUUGUAUUUAGGGUUUUGUUGUCUUUACAAGAAUAGAAGAGCAGUAAGUUUUUAUUUUUUGACUUUUUGUAGGUACAUCUAUAUAUAGUGCCAAAUGCAUAUAUUUGAGGCUGUCAAUUUUUAGACUUAUUUAAAAAUCUUAAAGGAAAAAAAAAAUAAACACCAAAUUUAGGAAAAUAAAGCAGCUAGCUAGAUAGAAAUAUCUGACCUUUAAGGCUUUGAAAAACUAUUUGUAUGGAGUUGCCAAAAGUACUGACUGACAAAUGCUAUUGGUGACAUCAUUUAACUCCUUAUGCAUAGCAAUAUCUGCCCUUCUACAAGAAAAUAUACAUGAAAAGGCACCGUGAAGUAUAAAACGGCUAAAGAAGUGAAAGACAUUAGCGCAACCAGUGCCUUACUGUCCAAACAAAGGUUUUUUGAGAACAGAGGCACAUCCUUUGAAGGACCAUUAGACUGAUAAAGAAAGAAGUCUCUGUCACACACCCACAUUAAUUUGAGUUGUUUUCUUUGUGUUCCCCUUCCUGAUGCCUCAGGUAUUUUUGAUAGGAAGAAGGCAUAUAACCCCUGAAUUUAGUGUUCUUUCUGUCAUUUGUAAGACAUAAGCUCACUGAAAAGAUAAUAGGAGAUGUCUUGAUAAAAACUGGGAGAAAGUAAAUGCUUUUGAAGAUCAGGAGAUAAGGAAGAGGAAGACAGCAGAGAUUUGUGGAACCCAUGAGUCCCUUAAAUGUGGAACCGCUUUUCAGCUGUGCGGCUAUUGCUUGAAGAAAACAAUGGAGUUCCAAGCUGCACCAUGUACCUUAGAGAACAAGGUCUUGGCAAAGAAGUAGUCAGAAAACCUUCUGGGACCGCUGCAGGUUCAGUAUUGGCUAAGAGUGACCAAUUAUCCCAGGCUCUCUGGGAUGCAGAUUUUUCAGUGCUAAAACCUGGAAAACUCUGUGCAAAUCAAGAUGAUUUGGCUAUUCUUGGAGGAACUAAGGCACCACCAUGAUGGAGUGGAAAUGAGAUUAACUUUCUCCUAAUUUGUGAGAAACAUGUAUAUCUUCUCCAAUUGGGGUUACCUUCAAAGGAGAGGGUGUUUCAACCUUGACUUGAUAUUUUAAGAACCUAAAUUCAACUUUAAGUUAUUUUAUGAGAAAGAAAAUAAUGUUUUUGCAUACCAUGGCUUGAGCACUGAGAUCCAAUCCUAAUACAUAGGUAAAGAGGUCAAUCCCUUAACAAAACUCCCAAGCCAGAUAUAUUUUGGCCUUCAAACUUUUUUAGAUUUUAGAAAACCACUUCAAUAUUUGUUAUUUAUAUUACAUGGUAACUCUAGUGCAAUACCCUAUAAUCAGACACAUUGAUAUUUCUAUACAAAUAUUUAUUGAUAUUGGCAUCAUGUGAGUUAAAUAGCAUAAAUAUUUUAUCGGUUAAAUCUUGGUGCUGCCAAACAAGUUGGGAUAAUCUUAAGUUUUACCAGCUGAUCAUUAUAGCUUUCAGAAAUUUUAAUAUCUUGGAAUUGUGAAUAAUAGAGUUUUGCUGUAUUUAUACAUAUUUGAAAAUAUAAAGUUAUGUUCUUAAUUUAUUAUACUAUUAGGUCAAAAGUAAAAUCUAUCCCAGGUUUUCCAGUAUUGACCAAAGAUUCUGCAGAGUUACUGAGCAUAUAAUUCCACUUAACACUUAUCAAAUCUAUCAGACCCUAGUAUGAGAAUCAAUAGAGGGUUGAAGUUACAAUAUUAAGUGAUAUAUGCAACAUUCAUAUGUUCUAUUUACACAUUACAGAUCCUUAUCCAGAUAACCAACGUGCAAGUAUUGCAAUUUAAAAUAGUUUUUUAUAAAGACCUGUUGAAAUCUGGAUUUGCUUGAGCUCCUCAUAAAGAAGUAAGACUUUUCCUUGAGGAAUAUUCCUGAGCUACAGAUUUUCCUCAAGGUAAUAUAAAAGGCUUUUGGCUAGAAAGUUCUUUAAUGUCUACAUGGAAGCAAAUCAAGGGUACUUGUUUACCAAGUGUCACCUAGCAAUCUAAGAGACAAAACAACAAUAAUAAUGCAUUUGUUGGUAAGCCUGGAAGGUGUGGUUAUUGUCAGCACAUUUAAUUAUGUAUAAGCCCAGCCAUUCUCCUUUCUGAUUCAAAGUCAUCAUAACAGUAGCUCUCCAGGGCCUGAAAAGCUAUACGAAGUAAAUUUAAAAUAUCUCAAACUUUGGUGGUUUCAUUAUUAUUCUUCACUAAAAAGAUAGCCUAGAUCUAAUUUAUUCAGAGCUUUGAAGAUAAGAUUUUAGUGUCUCGAGUAAAAUUCAGUUGUGUCUCAGUAAUAACUGAGGAAGCCAAGGCUCAUUUGUUUCAGUCCUUCCACUUCCUUUUCCAUGGGGAAAGCCAUGGGGAAGGAGAGGGCAUCUUAGAUGUUCUCUCUGUAUGGAAAGCAUGUGUGAGUUGGACCUGGAUGGAACACACAUCCAUGUUUACACCUAUCUUAUUUUGCCACAUGACGUGCAAUUUCCCUCUCUAAUCACAUAUGAUGGUUUGUAAACCAUGAUGCUUGGGAUAGGUUUUUUUUUCCUUCUUUAUUUCAUGUGACUUUCAAAAGUCUUCAAAAUCAAUCUCACCAGCACCAUUCAUAGUGUCUUCUGAGAUCUCCUUGGGGUCGGGAUUCAGUGCAGUCAUUCAUUCCCAUCCUUUCCAUCUUGAUGUGCAUGACAAACUCAUUAUGUGGUGGAAAUUUAAAAUAUUUAUGUAUCACACUGGGGCUCUAAUUAUUGCAAAUGAAGCUGCUUGUCCCUUUCAUGACAUCUCCUCAAAGAGAGAGUAUGUGAAGAGCUGUGAUAAUCAUUUUUCCCCUAGUUUCUUUAAAGCUUCAUAACAACCUUCUUCACACCACCUACACAAUGGCAGCUGCAUUUAAAGUACCCUGGUGCCUCUGACUCCCUGCAUUUGCCUGGUGAAGGUUGUUCAGCCUGUCCUUUGGUUUACUAUGCACUUACUUCUGUGACCUGCUGGCUAUGCUCACAGUUUUGCAGAGCCCCAAACUGGAGAAACCUCAGCAACAAAGGGACAAGUGCAAAGCUGUUUUUACCUGUUAUAUUGACCAGCUUUGCUUUCUUUUGUGCUACUAAACUCAAUGGGCUAAGAAGACUCAGAGAGAUUUAAUUAAAUACAAUUCUCUUUGCCAAAUGUCCCCCAGGAUCUCAGGUACACUAACCUGAAACAAAGAACUAGAGCAGAAGCAUCUCUCUCAUUUUUUUUUCAGUAUUAAAUGUAAUGAUUGACUUCUUUAAACUGAGGGCAUGUGAAUCUGUUUAUCUUUCACUAUUAAUCAACAAAUAGUCAUGUUGAAGUAGAAUAAGAAGUCAGAGAGACGUAGAAAUUAAUGGAACCAAAUCAUUAUUAUCGGUAAAUUUUACAGACUUCAUUAUUUCAUGGUGUCAGCCCCAACUAAUCUAUGAGGCAGUUUGAGCUAAAACAUUACUGGGAGGUUUCUGUACUUAAAAGUCUUCUUGUUGUUCACAAGAAUCUUACUAUAAGCAAAAGACACUUAGACUUACGUAAGUAGCUCUUUUUUUAAAAUCAAAAAAUUACUCUCCUGUAACAGUUCACACUACAAACACCUAACACAUGAAGGCUAUUUCUUACAUUUAUCAGUCUACUCUACACUGUAAUGAACCCAGAAAGAAGAAUGUGUGUGGACCAUUGUGAACACUUGGAGAUAGUGAUGACUUGGCACCUCAGUCCUUGUUAGCAUCCCAUCCAAUUGCUCUCCACCCAAAUGGUUUCUGUAAAUGAAUUUCAAAAGAAGAGGCAGUUCCCAUAUCAAGGCAGCCUCCAAUGCCCUGCUUCUUUCUCCGAGGGAUCCAACAAUUCCUUCUAGAGCUUUAGAAACAAUGAGAAGAAAUCAAAUCAGAGUUUAAACUAUUAAGAAAAUAAUACCAAGACUGCUGGAAGAGCCAUCAAAUUUAAAAGACUAACAAGAACAAAACUCAUUGGAAAACAAUGACCAGUACCAUGAUCCACGUCUAAUAUUAAAAUAUUAGUUUUAAACAUUGAAAUUAUUAGUCUUCAAGUCCUCUUUGCAUCUCUUACUUGUGAUAAUUUCACAAAUGGCAUUACUUGAAUUAGCUAUGCUUUGAGAUUUCCUUGCAAACACAGAACAUUUGGUAUUCUUUUUCUUUCUCCCAUGUAGAAAAUUUGCAAGCUUCCACCUGUUAUCUUGAAAAUAAAAUUAGAUCAUCCAUGUUUUCAUAAAAACUUAAAUGGAAGAAAAAUUUCUAUUUUAAGGCAAAAUAUUUAUGUUGCAAUAGUUAUAUCAAUUUUAAACAGGUAUAUUUAACAAAAAAACUCCUAGAGAAAUAAAGCACCUGGGAGGAACUCUCUCCAAAUUGCUUCAAAAUAGCAGUUUGGGUUUAGAAAGAUGAUCUUUAAGUAAUCAUAUGGUCUGCCAUUAAGGUAUCACCUUCUCAGUAGCCUAGAGCAUUCCUAAAUGAGCAUUACUAGGGAGCUCUGGGUGCUAGGGUAAAAUUCUUAUUCUCAAGCCAAUGGGAAAUAUAUAUGUGCUUCUUGCUCUCAAUAUAUAAAGUUGGAAAAAAUGCAUUUCAAAACUAUGUCUUCAUAUUCAGAUUUCCAUGGUAGGCAGGUUAAAGUAAGAAGCUUUUGUUUUAUUUAUUGGUAUAUGCCAAGAACCUCAAAUAGUACUUGAAACAAACAAGAUGUUCAAAGAAUGAAUGAAUGAAUAAAUGAUGACAUAUAAGCUCGGUAGGCUGCUACCUACCAAAUGGAGGACUUUCAAGGCCAUAGAAGACCAGCAUAGUAAAUAAGAUUUUGCUGAAUCCCAAACCUACCAUUUUUUGAUUCCCUGGAUUGUUUCUAAUCUGUCCUUCUCUCUCCACAGAAGAAAUACUGAAAUUGUUCUGGGAGUAGGUCUGGAAGCAGAGUUGCUUAUUCAUAGGGCAUGUGUAUAAUCACAUUAUGGUGAAGUCAUUUGUGCAUCUAUUUGCUAUUUCUCCCAGAUCAACUUAUCUAGACAUAAUAAGAGCAUCACUAACAAAAAGAACUUUGAUAUUAAAGAAAAGAUCUUAAUAUAAUGUUAAAAUAUUUAUCUUUAUACUAACAUAGUUAUGAAGUUUUACUUUUAAUGUUCUUUAAUAGAUGAAGGAGCCCAUGAAGGCAAAAGUCCCUAAGACGCAUGAAAGUCAGUCUGCAGAUCUCACCUCCAAAAGGUUGUGGGCUCACUGUGAAUAUAAGAAUUGCAUUUUUCAGGUUUUGCAUAGACCUUGGGAACAUUGGGUGCUUAUUAUAUAUUUUGAGAAUGUCUAAAAUAAAAUAGAUGAAUAUACACUACUAAUGAAAGUCAGACAAAAAUAUUGAAAACCUAUAUGAUUAAAAGCAGUAAGAGGAAACAAAGAAAAAAACUAAUAAAAGAAGUCAAGGAGGAAGUCAAUAAUUUAGGUAUGUGCUAACAAUAGUAGAUCAGAAUGCCUUCCAGAAGACUUGGGAAACAGGAGACUGAAGCCAGGGCAGAGUGGAGGAGUAUCUGGGGGGAGGCAGGGACUUCUGUAACGUGGGGUGCUGAGUUCAUACUUGGCAGAGAGUGAUGAAUUUUCUGGCAGGCUAAUGAAUAAUGGAAUCUGAGAGCUAGAAGUGCUCUUAAGAGCUGUUGUAGCCCAGCUCCUCAUUUUAUAAGUAAAAAGACUGAAGGUUAUUCAAUUCUUGGGAAAAUACACUAUGAUUCUUCCCGUUCCACUGCUCUACCAACUCUUCCAAUGGCUUGAGUUGUUUUUAUAAGGCAGGGCAAAAUGAACAACAAACAUGGCAUUAAUGCAUUUAUUAUGUGUGUGUCAUGUACAUACACAUGAGCCACUUCAUAUGUAGCAUAAUGUAAGAGAGCCAUCUUCAGCAAUCUAAAUAGAUAUAGGAAAUUAUUUUCAGGUCAUGGGAUGGGACAUUUUUAUUUCUUAUCCCUCUCAACCUUACAGCAACUUUGACUUGGAAUCAUUAGCAUUGCCUGGCUGUUGCCCAAAUAAGAAAUCUGACCCUAUUGGCAGCACUAAAUUAGUCAGAUAACUAAAAGUACAGGUAGCCAAAUCUGCCUUAAGUGAAACCAGAACCAGAAGUCUCUCUGAUUAGCUGUCAACAGCAAAAGAGAGAGAAGGUGAAAUGAUAAAAUAGCAGAACCUUGCUACCAUUAACAAGUGAAGGGACGCCAGGUACAGUGGCACACACCUGUUAUCCCAGCCACUCAGGAGGUUGACACUCUGUGUCAGGAGGAUGACAUAGCAGGAGAUGUUGCCUAAUGCAGUGGACCACGGAAGGCUUCCCUGAGGGAGUGGUUUUUAAUGGGAAUGUAACAAGAGGAUUUGGCCAGGCAAUAGAACAUUCUUUGAAGGAAGAACCACAUGUAGGGAAGCCUAAGUCUAUCUAAAUCCCAUCCAUCCUGUAAGUCUCACUCAAUUUGCAAUUUCUCAUCAAGUGGUUUCUGACCUCUGGAGUCUAUUAUGACAAACUUCUCCCUCUUCUGAUCUCACUGACAUUGGAUUCUUUACCACUUCUCUUAACCCUUUGUCAUCAUUGGUCUGAUAACCUCCCUUAGUUGUAUGCUUUUCCUCUCACCUGGGUUAUAUCAGAACAGAACCAUGUUUUAAAUAUCUUACAUCUACAAGAGCAUCUAUUUCUAGGAGAAACUCAAUAAAUAUUAAAUGUAUGCAUGCAUGAAUGAAUGAGUGACUAAUCUUAGUUCAGGAAUCAUGCAUGGCCAUCCAGUAAGCCUCCGCCUCCCCAGAGGCCACUGUGGCAGUACGCAAGAUACUCUAUUAUUGACCUUUGCAAAAGUAAAAGAUUCACUGGCUAGUCAUCUUAUUUAUGUAGACUCUAGCCCCCAACUCUCCCAAAGAAUCAUGAGAAAUAGAUGAGUGGCUUGAAAGAGAUGGUUAUAUUCCUGGUAUCAACUAAUAGGUAAUAGAUUAUAUAAACUAUUCUCAAGAAAAGCUUGAAAUGGAAUGUGUGGAAUUCUGUUGGAUGUUAUAUGGUCUCAGUCAAACAGAAACCACUUUAACUCACCACCAGGCCAAAGGAUUCUUCAGUAGAAACCUGCUGAAAAAUGAUAGGCCAGUGGACUCCCCCAACAGCUUUCCCACCAACCAAAAUGGUCGUCCAAAAUAAGCCAGUUCCUGGUCUUGCUGAAAAGCUAUAGGCAGAAAUGGUGUGCACAAUUUCCAAGACUGUUCUUAAAGGGAUGAAAUACUCUCUUCUUUUUCCAUUCAUAUUUUUCUGAUGAGAAUGCAAUGGUUGGAGCUCCAGUAUCUACAUUUAAUUAUACAGCGACAGGAAUUGAAACUGCAAGGAUUAGAAUAACAGAUGGAGAAAGCCAACACUGUGGUGACUCCUUGCCAUCCUGAACUGCCACCUACAAACUCUCACAUGAAAUAGUUUCCUCAUUGUUGCUAUAAGUCUCUGUUACCUUCAUAUGCACCUGAUAUUGACCAAUAUAAUUGCUUAAAACUGAAAUCUAUUGAAAAGUCUCUGGGCCACUUUCUUCAUUGCAUUAGCAAUCUUGAUCAGCCAUUCAUCUGGAACCUGUACAGAAAAUCUGUCCUCUUCUUCUCUUACAGUACACAAUGCUGGAGUUUUGUUAUUUCAGCAAUAUCCCUCCCGCUGCCUUUCACUCUAAUACUCUAGUCAGUUAGUUGCGUUAGAUUUAUAGUUCCUAAAAUCUGAUAUCUCUUUAUGCCUAUCAGGUGCAUAAAAAUGAAGUCAGAAUGUCAAUUACUGGCAGAAUUGCAAACAAAAGUGUACUCUUUUAUAUGUCCAGUGGAAAUGUGACAUGUUGCUAUCUUCUUAAGAGCCAUUUAUAAUAGCUAGAUAAUUUAAAAAUGCCUCUGUUUUUCUACCCAUCUAUCCACUUCUAAGAAGUAAAAUCAAUAUUAAUGAUGGAUAUAUGUGUAGAGAUAUUUAUUUCAUUUUCCCCAUAGGAAGGAAAUAUUUAUAAUAUAAAUGGAUAAGUAUAUUUGAUGUCCAUCAACAUAUUGUUGGCAUUUUAAACUAUAGGACUGGAUGAAAUCACCUAGGAAAUGAGAAAGAAAGAGGAGAUAUUUGAGGACUGAGCCUAGAACUUUCCAAGACUUAAGGAUUGGAAAAUUAAGAAAGAUACAGCCAAAAGAAAUAAGAAGCAGUGGCCACUGAGAUGGGUGGAGAACAAGGACACUGGUUUCCCAGCCACCCAAGAGAAGAGUUUCAGGAAGAAUGGAAUGACUAACAGUGCUAGAUUCUGCCAAGAGGCUAAGUAAGGUCAAGGCUACAUGGAAACCACUGAGAUGUAGCAAAAGCAGUAGCAGUGAAUGGGUGGGGACAAUGGCUGGCCUGAGUGGGUUCAAAAAUGAAUGGAAGGUGAGGAAGUAAAGAAAGAGAGCAUAGAUAGCCAGAUUUUUAUCAAAAUGAAAAUGGGUCAAUUGAUUAAAAGAAGGGAAUUUGGUCAGAUGCAAGGCAAUCCUUUUUGUUUUAAAGAACGAUAUAGCACAGUAAAAAAAAAAAAUAGGUGAUAUAAAAGAAGGGGCAAUUAUAUGGUCAAUUAACUGAAUGAGUAGCCCCACGGAGGGGAAAACUUCAGAUGGGAGCCAGGAUAGUGCACUCGCUAGGACCCAAGGGAAGUCAGAUGUAUGAGCACCAAUGUGAGUGUGAUGGCACAUUUGGUGGUAGAAAGGAACAAAAUUCUCCUCUGAUUGCUUUGGUCAAUGUCCAGCUGACCUACAGAUAUGCAGACAAGUCUGGUUGAAACCACAACUGCCAAUCUUAAAUCAUAAGCCUACAGCUGCAUGAACUACGUAUAUACUUAUUGUGUUAAGUCACUAAAUUUUGGAUGAUAUCUUAUAUAACAUGGUGGCAAUAGAUAACAGAUGAAAGAAAUGUUCCAAAUCUAUUGGUACAUAUAGAGCUGUCUCCGUUUUUUAAAUGACUACCUGUAGCAUUGUACUAUAUGUGUCAUAUUUUAUUUUACUGUUUUCUUAUGAAUGUUUACUUUUCAAUUGCCAAUACAAGCACUUCAAGGAAUAUCUUCCUACAUAUGUCUUUGCAUACACAUGUGGAACUGAAUAAUAAACUCCUAGAAGAGGAAUUUCUGAGUCCAGGUGAAUAUACAAUAGUAAUUUUAAUAAAUAAGGGCAAAUUGACCUCUAUAAACAAUGUAUCAAUUUACAUACUUACCAAUAAUUUAUGAGUGCCUAUUUACACUCAUCUUCAUGUUACUAAUGUUUUUACCAAUAUAGUAGGGAAAAAUGUAAAUUACUGUAGACAUCGUCUUUAUUCCUCUUAUUAUAUGGUUCUUGAAUGAAUACAACAUUCAUUAUGGUUUGGAUAUGAAGUGUCCUUUCAAAAGAAACAUGAUACCAAUGUAGCAAUAUUCAGAGGUGAAAUGAUCGUAUUAUAAGAGCUGUAACCUCAUCAGUGGAUUAAUGCAUUUAUGGAUUGAUAAUCUGAAUGGAUUACUGGGUGCUCACCAUAGGCAGGUAGGGACAUGAAUGGAGGAAGUAGGUCACUGGGAUAAUGCAUUUGGGGAUUAUAUUCAUAUUCCCUCUCUCUCUCUCUCUCUCUCUCUCUCUCUCCCCCCACUCUCUCCCCCCAUGCCCCCUCCUCUACCACCGUCCUUCCCAGCUACCAGGAGUUGAGCAGCUUUCCACCCCCACCCUUCCACCAUGAUGUUCUGCCUUACCUCAGACCCAAAGCCAUGCAAUUGGCUGGCCAUGAUUUGAACCAGCAAAACAAUAAGCUGGAAUAAAGUUUUCCUUCUCUAAGUUGUUCUUGUCAGGCAUUUUGGUCACAGUGACAAAGAGCUGACUAGCACACAAUCCCUCUCUGGUUUCUACUGACUGCAGGGCACCUAUUUCACCCUUAUUAACCCCGCCUCAAAAGGCACAGAGAGCUUCUUACCUCACACCAUUUUACCAGCGGUUCUACAUUGCCAGUGCCUUUCAUUUGCCAGUAGGUAUCCCACUAAAUUUCAGUAAGUUAUGACCAACAUAACACAAAUGUGGAAAACAUUCCACGUAUUUGUAGAUAAAUGAGUUGUGCUUGAGAUCACUCAUUAUAAAUGGAAAUGGUUAAGGAUAAUUGGAAGAAACUUAAAAAGAAGAUGGAAAUUAAAAAGAAAAAGUUAAAGAUGGGACAAAAAAGAAUUUCUGAAGUCCCUUUGAUUUCUACAACAUUUCAUCAUUUUGACCUCUCAAAGGAAUUUGUAGGUUAAUUAUAAUUUAUUUCAAAAUACUUCAGCAUAGAGAGUAUAAUAAGCUUGUGAACAAUAGUUUUCAUCUUAGAGCCAAUAAAAAAAAUUAAAAACUAUUAAGAUAAUGGGGAAAGAACUAAACAAAUAUAAAAGGGGCCAUGGCUGCAUAUAGUGGGAUGAUACUAUUUUUGAAGAUAGAAAUUAGGGGCUUUUAUACUUUCUCUAUCUGUAUAAUAUUGUAUCAAACAUGUAUUCAAGAUAUUUAUAUAAUUAGUAUGCUUUGCAAUUUCAAAUUGUGAAAUGACCAAAGUUCAUUUAUGAGUAAGUGUAAGUAAUUUCACCUUAACUCAAGUGGAAAAUUGUCAUGUUGGAAGUAUCUUUAAUUUUGCCAUAGAUUCUCAACUUUAUUACUUUGUACUCAAAGGGCAAUUAGCUUGGAUUGUGGUUCUGUUAUUUAAGCAUUUUUCUUUUGAAUAUCUCACUAGAUUGCAUUUAGAAUAAUGAUUCUCUCUGAAGUCAGUACAUCUUUGGGAAAAAAAAAGUGUAGAUGACUGAAGAGACUUGAGAUGGAGUCCCACUAAGGACAAAAUACAGAAGCCUAAGGCAGCCUUUUAUCUUCUCCAUUAAAUGGGCAUUCUAAGUGGCUCAAGAGAGUCAACCUUUUUGUAAUGGAUAUGAUUUCCUGGAUGACUCAAGAAAACAUAAGGUCUUUAAGCUCUGAGUUGAAAUCCUUGAAUAAAGCACUAACUUGAAAAGAUAUAUUUAAAUGCAGCUGUUCAUUGUCUUUUCAAUUCUAUCACUUUCCCACUUAAUGUGUUUUUUUUUUCUUUCAUACAUAAUAAGCCUUAGUUAUAAGGAAAGGAGACUGGCAGGAGAGACAACUAAGCCAUUCAGGGUUUCUAGUGGUCUCAUCAGAUAAUCACAAAACAUUGGUGCCAUUUAGAGUGCAUAGUCUGUAGGAAAAAAUAAAGCAUAAGGACAUGGCCCAGGCUCAGAGACUGGGCCUGUGCUGAGAUUCUGCCACAAUCUUUUUGACCAAUUCACUCAAACAAUUGUUUUCUUCUUUCUCAAGUCAACCAGUUAAUUGACUAAAUUGAAAAACAAGUGGUUGUUCUGAUUCAGGCUGUAUUCCAAUGUUAAAAUUGAAAUUUGUAUUUUACCAUAGCUAAGUUCAAUUCACUACUAAAUUGAGACGCAGUCUGAGAUACAAAGAAGUUACAAAUUAUGUUCUAAAGUCAGUAAAUCAACAUCAACUUAUUUUGUGGCCUUAGAAAUAUACCAGAGAUGUGCAAAAAUAGUGUUAGUAGAUGCUUUUAAUUGGAAAAAUCCAGGCAGUGACCUGUGGUUUUUCUUGUUUGUUUCACCAUCUUUUUUAUUGUGAUGAUAUAUUGUCCUAAAAGAAGUUGGUUCUCAUCUAUUUCUUUUUGUUCACAUUGCCCAGAAGUGUUUCCAACAGUGUUUAUAUCCCUGUACCAUUUUAGGUUAUCCAUCAUCUUUCCUCAUCUCUACAUCUGUCAAAGAACUAAAGUCUUUAAUGACACUUCAAAGAAAGAUGGGAGCAAGUAUUCACCUGGGGAAUCUAAGUUUGUCUCAGCUUCGCAUAAUGUUGCAUGGACUCCUAUUCCCCAUUCUUUUCUCUAUUACAAAACUGUAACAAGUUUGCUAAGUUACCCACAUUUCUAAGCAAAGAGGUGUCAUACUACUUCAGAAUGGUUGAUUGGUGGCAGAGUCUUGGUUAGCCAUAUCCAGGCUUAGUGGAAAUAGAGUAGUACUUGACAAGCAAUGUCUGACAGGUGUGCUGCUCAGGUAUUUUCCUUCUUUCCUGGUUUCAAGAUACAAUCAGGCCCUAUCAACUGGUUGAAUAAGUGCUCCAGAAAGUGCACUAAUCAGGACAUCUUUUUAUAGGUUCAUUGGCACACAAUGCUCACAUGAGUGCUCAGGGGUUUCCCCACCCUCAGGGAUCAGAGGAAACUUUUUCACAUAAUGAUUUUUAUAGCCUAUGCAUUAGCAGAUACAUAAAAGGCAAUCUAACCAGAACUCUACAGCAACAAGAGGUAUAUAAUGACAAAGCCAAGUCAGAGAGGCUGAAGGAUCAGAGUGUAGAUUUCAAAUUCAAUUCUCCCUCAUUCCCAUUAGUGGUUCUGGUGCCAUGCUUGAGGGAGGUCAUGAGGCUAGGGAAUUUCUGCGGUGAUGGAAAGCUCAAGUAUGACCCCAACAUCUGGGAGAUAGUUGCUCACUGGCUCUGUCUUUGUGCUACCUCUAGUAAGCCCCAACAAGCUCUUGAUUCUGGAAAGCCUACCACUAUGAGUAGGUUUCUGGAAAACUUUAUGGACAUUAUUCAUCCUCUUACACAGUAGAUUCCUUCCAAGUAACUUCACUAGUUUCAUUCAGGUGUUUCUUUUUAAUGGAAGUGUUUUGCUUAUGCUGUUAGUAGCAUGAGAGCAACUUUCAUACAUUCAUGCACACAUUCUUGCAGAUGAUUGCACAUUCGCUUUUGCUGUGGUCUGAAGAGUUGUAUGAAUUUUCCCCUUCACCAUAGGAGUGGGUAUGAUGACAGUGUAUCUGGAGGACCUGAAUCAUCCCACAUAAGGGAUUGUGUGAUUAGGGACAAUUGAACAUCUCUGUCUUCAUUUAUAGAAAAAACAGCAGGGGAUGGUGAUUCUCCCUAUUCUAUCUACUUUGCAGAAUUUUUACAAAAAUCAAAUAAGAAAUGCUCAUGCAAUUUCUUUGUAAAGUAUAAACUGCUAUGUGAGUGUUGUUUUAUUAUUGCUAUCCUUUUGCAAAUCUGGUCACUAUACUGUAAGGUGCUAAUUAUACUAUAAGGAAAUCUGUCCCUUAUACCACCUGCCAAAAAAUGACAGCCUUUAGGCAAUGGCAAUUUCAUGUAAUUCUCACUUAUUUGAGAUCUUCUUCUUCAUUCCAUAGAAUUCUGCCUGACUUCUUGGCAUUAACCAUUAAAACAGCCCAACUCAACUCAACUGGGACCAUCUUCCACGGCCAAACACCCUCACCAUCAUCACUGUGCCUUCCACAUCACUCAGAGAUUUCUAUCUGGGCCAUCCAUAAACUUCUUUCCAUGAAAGUCUCAGAUCCCUUCCCAUCUACUACAUUUAAAAUUUUUUAAGAAAAAUUACCUCUGGUAUAGGGACUCAUGUUUAGAUAGGUAUGUGUUUGUAUUCCAGCUUAAACUCUUCCAGUGCUACAUCUAUUUCCCUCAUGAAUCUUAAGGACUAUUUAGUGCUCAUGCAAUGAUCAAUUGCAUCUAAUCUAUGCCAUGCUGCUUGAGACCAUUGCCUUAAAAAUCUCCUCCAUGAUAAUUCAGGAGAUGAUACUGAACUAAAAUUUCAAAUAUUAUGCCAUGUAAUUAAUUCAUAGUUUUAAUAUAGAGGUUUUAACUCAAGUUUUAAUAUAGAAAUUUUUUAUCAGCUGUGGGGAUUUGGGUUGUGAAAAUACCCAUACUAGAAGAAUUCACAAUUGAGAAAUAAAAGAUCUUAUAGAAAAACAAAAACAGAAUUAGUACAACUAGGGAUUAUACUAACUUUAAAAGUUUCUUAUAAGUACAUUUCUAUUAUAUGAUCCAGAAGUUCCACUUGGAUAUGGUUAUUCAAAAUAAUUAAAUCAGGAUCUGGAAGACAUAUUUGCACUCCUAUGUUCAUUGCAACACUAUUCACAAUAGCUAAGUUGUGGAAACAACUUAAGUGUCCAUCUGAAGGUUAAUAAAAUAUGCACUAUGCUUACAAUAACUAUUGUUCAGCCUUAAAAAAGAAGGAAAUGCUAAAAUAUGGAACAUCAUGGAUGAAGUUUGAGGACAUUUUGCUAAGUGAAAUAGGACACACAAAAAGACAUGUGCAUGCUCAUGUUAGGCAACGUGGGAAUAUUCAAUGUGAAAGGAUAAGGUUAUGAGAGCUGUAACUCAAUCAAUGGACUAAUCUAUUUGAUGGAUUCAUAAUUUGAACAGAUUAUUGGGUGAUAACUAUAGGCAGGUGGGGGCAUGAAUGGAGGAAGUAGGUCACUGGGAUCCUGUCUUUGGGGAUUGUAUUUUGUCUCUGGCUUUUCCUCCGCUACCCCCCACCCCAUCCCCUUCCUAGAGCCAUGAGCUGAGCAUCUUUCCUCUGUCAUUCUCUUUUGUCAUGAUGGUCUAUAUCAGGUACAGAGCAAUGGGGUUUGUCAACAAUGGACACCUCUUAAAUCAUGAGCUCAAAAUUAUCUUUUUCUUCUCUGAGUUGUUAUUGUCAGGUAUUUUGGUUACAGUGAUAAAAAGCUGACUAAUGCAGAAAUAUGUCUCAAGAAGUGGAGUUGUUCCUGUGACUAACCUGACCAUGUGGUUCAGAAGCCUUGGAAACUUGUUUACUGAAGGAGUUAAGAAAAGUUUGGAGAUGCACAAAGAGAAGUCAAAUGUAUGAUAUGUCAAGAUCAUUGUAUUGUCAUGAGCAACUACUUAAAAAAAGAAAUAAAAAUAAAGGAAUUUUAACUAGAAAAAAAAAGAGAGAAGGCUUAUAACACUGUAAUUGAAGCUUAAUUGGUGAUUCUGGUGGAAGCUCAAAAGAUCAGGAUAUCAAUAGGAAUGCAGACAGUAAAGACUGUGUUGAUGAGGGGAGAUCCAACAUGGCGGCGGGCGUGGAGAGAUCAAGUCCCUGACCUCUUCAGCUGCGCGGGCAUAGGGAGUCGUAAACCGUCUAAAUGCUGUUUGCUCAGGAUCACUAGGCAAUGCUGAGAUGACGUGGAUCUGGGGCGAACAGUCUGGACCUCUCAGAACACACACCGAGCCCGGAUCGGCUGAAUUCAAGCUCCCGUUCGCCUGUGUCUCGCAGACAAACCACUGUGACUCAGCACUAAACGAUCCCGCUGAAACAACUGGUCGGCCCUUCUGAACCUGCGGAGGUUAAUACCAACUGAGCCUUCAUAGGCAGUGGCCACAGGAUUGAGACGGGGUUUGGGAGAGCCAGUCAGGACCCACCCAUUGCAUUGGUCACCCAGCAAAGGGAACGAACUGUCACCAUUUGCAUGGGAUACCACCACAGCAGAGAACUGACAUCAUCAGAAUGCGGUGGAGGAGAUAACUUCAUUGAAACCGGCGGCGACAGGUUUGUAACCCCCUAGCCCUUCCUCUCCACACAGCAAGGAAACCUUAAGGGUCCCUCCCAGCUCUCCCGUGAGCGCGAUAGUCAGCCCCAGGGACUCAGGAGUGGCGCGGGACCCGUGGCGCAGAACCCCCGGCUACCGCUCCCACCAGUGCUGACAACUGAGGUCUCUUGCACCAGCUACCGGGGGAGUAGCUACCAGAGGGCAAGCAAAAUUUCGCUGAGGGUUCUCAGCCCCAAACUCCACAAACUUAGGGUCUGAGGGAAUGGCAAACGGGGAGAGUGUGCCCAGUCGUUCAAGAAAAUAGGGCUCCUGGGAGCCGCAGACCUGGCGUGUAGCCAGUAUUGUGGUGAGCAUCACCGGUGAGCGGGGCCUGGCUUGAGGAAAAGUGGAGAAGUGACUAGACACAAGAGAAGGCCCUAGGCACUCAGGAUUGGAGACCCGCCCAGUCUGGGAGGAGGAGCUACUGCACAGUGAUUGGUUCCCUCGUAUUGAGAGGAGAAGCGUGGCCCGGUGGGCACAGCUCCACCUACUUGAAAAGAAGUUAAUCAAACUCUAGGACUGCAUUUAUUAAAUUUUUUUUUGGGGGGGGGUUAUUUUCAUUUUUUAAAUUUUUUUUUUAAUUUUUUUAAUUAUUUUUUUAUUUUAAUUUUUUUUGAUUAUUUUUUUAAAUUUUUUUCUUUUUUUAUUUUCUAAAUUUUUUUCUUUUCUCUUUACAUUUCUUUUCAAUUUCCUUAUUCCCCCUUCCUUGAAUUCUACCUGCUUACUCUCAUUCUCUUUAGUGACUUCUUCCCUUCACUUCUAAUACCUUUCCUCCCAAGCAUCAAAUAAAUUUAUAGGAGUAAACAGUAACUCAGCAGUCAAACAGAACAAGAAGUAACAUGAUCAGCAUGAAAAAGCAAGGAAGAAAAGGAGUACAAAUAAUGCAGGACAGCCUAAAUAUUCAGGAGGACCUAAAGGCAUCAGAAAAAUGGCCAAAUAAAGAACACAAGGAAUACCUUAGACAGAUGGAAUGGAAUCUUAAAGAGGAUAUGAGACAGCAAAUUCAAACAGUGAAAGAACACAUUGAAAAUGAAUUACAUAAACAGAUAAAAGAAGCAAAUAAGCAUCUUUAUCAGGAGAUAGAGAUUAUAAAAAAAAUCAAACAAUAAUUCUAGAAAUGAAGGAAACUAUAAACCAAAUUAAAAACUCAAAUGAGAGUAUCACUAACAGAGUGGAGCAAGUAGAAGCCAGAACGUCAGAUAAUGAAGACAAAAUAUAUCAUCUUGAAAAGAGUCUAGCCAACUCAGAAAGGCUGGUAAAAAAUCACGAGAAAAACAUCCAAGAGAUAUGGGAUAACAUAAAAAAACCAAACUUAAGAGUCAUCGGGAUAGAGGAAGGUAUAGAGGUUCAAACCAAGGGAAUGAGCAACCUGCUGAAUGAAAUAAUUAUAGAAAACUUUCCAGAAAUAAAAAAGGAAACGGAUAUACAAAUUGUNNNNNNNNNNNNNNNNNNNNNNNNNNNNNNNNNNNNNNNNNNNNNNNNNNNNNNNNNNNNNNNNNNNNNNNNNNNNNNNNNNNNNNNNNNNNNNNNNNNNNNNNNNNNNNNNNNNNNNNNNNNNNNNNNNNNNNNNNNNNNNNNNNNNNNNNNNNNNNNNNNNNNNNNNNNNNNNNNNNNNNNNNNNNNNNNNNNNNNNNNNNNNNNNNNNNNNNNNNNNNNNNNNNNNNNNNNNNNNNNNNNNNNNNNNNNNNNNNNNNNNNNNNNNNNNNNNNNNNNNNNNNNNNNNNNNNNNNNNNNNNNNNNNNNNNNNNNNNNNNNNNNNNNNNNNNNNNNNNNNNNNNNNNNNNNNNNNNNNNNNNNNNNNNNNNNNNNNNNNNNNNNNNNNNNNNNNNNNNNNNNNNNNNNNNNNNNNNNNNNNNNNNNNNNNNNNNNNNNNNNNNNNNNNNNNNNNNNNNNNNNNNNNNNNNNNNNNNNNNNNNNNNNNNNNNNNNNNNNNNNNNNNNNNNNNNNNNNNNNNNNNNNNNNNNNNNNNNNNNNNNNNNNNNNNNNNNNNNNNNNNNNNNNNNNNNNNNNNNNNNNNNNNNNNNNNNNNNNNNNNNNNNNNNNNNNNNNNNNNNNNNNNNNNNNNNNNNNNNNNNNNNNNNNNNNNNNNNNNNNNNNNNNNNNNNNNNNNNNNNNNNNNNNNNNNNNNNNNNNNNNNNNNNNNNNNNNNNNNNNNNNNNNNNNNNNNNNNNNNNNNNNNNNNNNNNNNNNNNNNNNNNNNNNNNNNNNNNNNNNNNNNNNNNNNNNNNNNNNNNNNNNNNNNNNNNNNNNNNNNNNNNNNNNNNNNNNNNNNNNNNNNNNNNNNNNNNNNNNNNNNNNNNNNNNNNNNNNNNNNNNNNNNNNNNNNNNNNNNNNNNNNNNNNNNNNNNNNNNNNNNNNNNNNNNNNNNNNNNNNNNNNNNNNNNNNNNNNNNNNNNNNNNNNNNNNNNNNNNNNNNNNNNNNNNNNNNNNNNNNNNNNNNNNNNNNNNNNNNNNNNNNNNNNNNNNNNNNNNNNNNNNNNNNNNNNNNNNNNNNNNNNNNNNNNNNNNNNNNNNNNNNNNNNNNNNNNNNNNNNNNNNNNNNNNNNNNNNNNNNNNNNNNNNNNNNNNNNNNNNNNNNNNNNNNNNNNNNNNNNNNNNNNNNNNNNNNNNNNNNNNNNNNNNNNNNNNNNNNNNNNNNNNNNNNNNNNNNNNNNNNNNNNNNNNNNNNNNNNNNNNNNNNNNNNNNNNNNNNNNNNNNNNNNNNNNNNNNNNNNNNNNNNNNNNNNNNNNNNNNNNNNNNNNNNNNNNNNNNNNNNNNNNNNNNNNNNNNNNNNNNNNNNNNNNNNNNNNNNNNNNNNNNNNNNNNNNNNNNNNNNNNNNNNNNNNNNNNNNNNNNNNNNNNNNNNNNNNNNNNNNNNNNNNNNNNNNNNNNNNNNNNNNNNNNNNNNNNNNNNNNNNNNNNNNNNNNNNNNNNNNNNNNNNNNNNNNNNNNNNNNNNNNNNNNNNNNNNNNNNNNNNNNNNNNNNNNNNNNNNNNNNNNNNNNNNNNNNNNNNNNNNNNNNNNNNNNNNNNNNNNNNNNNNNNNNNNNNNNNNNNNNNNNNNNNNNNNNNNNNNNNNNNNNNNNNNNNNNNNNNNNNNNNNNNNNNNNNNNNNNNNNNNNNNNNNNNNNNNNNNNNNNNNNNNNNNNNNNNNNNNNNNNNNNNNNNNNNNNNNNNNNNNNNNNNNNNNNNNNNNNNNNNNNNNNNNNNNNNNNNNNNNNNNNNNNNNNNNNNNNNNNNNNNNNNNNNNNNNNNNNNNNNNNNNNNNNNNNNNNNNNNNNNNNNNNNNNNNNNNNNNNNNNNNNNNNNNNNNNNNNNNNNNNNNNNNNNNNNNNNNNNNNNNNNNNNNNNNNNNNNNNNNNNNNNNNNNNNNNNNNNNNNNNNNNNNNNNNNNNNNNNNNNNNNNNNNNNNNNNNNNNNNNNNNNNNNNNNNNNNNNNNNNNNNNNNNNNNNNNNNNNNNNNNNNNNNNNNNNNNNNNNNNNNNNNNNNNNNNNNNNNNNNNNNNNNNNNNNNNNNNNNNNNNNNNNNNNNNNNNNNNNNNNNNNNNNNNNNNNNNNNNNNNNNNNNNNNNNNNNNNNNNNNNNNNNNNNNNNNNNNNNNNNNNNNNNNNNNNNNNNNNNNNNNNNNNNNNNNNNNNNNNNNNNNNNNNNNNNNNNNNNNNNNNNNNNNNNNNNNNNNNNNNNNNNNNNNNNNNNNNNNNNNNNNNNNNNNNNNNNNNNNNNNNNNNNNNNNNNNNNNNNNNNNNNNNNNNNNNNNNNNNNNNNNNNNNNNNNNNNNNNNNNNNNNNNNNNNNNNNNNNNNNNNNNNNNNNNNNNNNNNNNNNNNNNNNNNNNNNNNNNNNNNNNNNNNNNNNNNNNNNNNNNNNNNNNNNNNNNNNNNNNNNNNNNNNNNNNNNNNNNNNNNNNNNNNNNNNNNNNNNNNNNNNNNNNNNNNNNNNNNNNNNNNNNNNNNNNNNNNNNNNNNNNNNNNNNNNNNNNNNNNNNNNNNNNNNNNNNNNNNNNNNNNNNNNNNNNNNNNNNNNNNNNNNNNNNNNNNNNNNNNNNNNNNNNNNNNNNNNNNNNNNNNNNNNNNNNNNNNNNNNNNNNNNNNNNNNNNNNNNNNNNNNNNNNNNNNNNNNNNNNNNNNNNNNNNNNNNNNNNNNNNNNNNNNNNNNNNNNNNNNNNNNNNNNNNNNNNNNNNNNNNNNGCCUGUCUUUCCCACUUCAAAACUGAGGCUAGCCAAUCCCUAAAAAACAAAUACCAAAUGUCUUCUUUGAUAUAAUGAGAGCAACUAAGAACAGAGCAGGGAGGAAGAGCAGGAGGAAAAGGUUAACAUUAAAUAGAGACAUGAGGUGGGAGGGGAAGGGAGAGAAAAGGGAAAUUGCAUGGAAAUGGAAGGAGACCCUCACUGUUACACAAAAUUACAUAUAAGAGGUUGUGAGGGGAAUGGGAAAAUAAACAAGGAGAGAAAUGAAUUACAGUAGAUGGGGUAGAGAGAGAAGAUGGGAGGGGAGGGGAGGGGGGAUAGUAGGGGAUAGGAAAGGUAGCAGAAUACAACAGUCAUUAAUAUGGUAUUAUGUAAAAAUGUGGAUGUGUAACCGAUGUGAUUCUGCAAUCUGUAUUUGGGGUAAAAAUGGGAGUUCAUAACCCACUUGAAUCUAAUGUAUGAAAUAUGAUAUGUCAAGAGCUUUGUAAUAUUUUGAACAACCAAUAUAAAAAAAUGGUCAUUGUUGAAAAAAAAAAAAGACAAAACCUAAAUAUUGACCAAAUAAACAAAUCACAGCACAACAACAACAACAAAAAAGACUGUGUUGAUGAGAUUUCACAGAAGGAUAAGGACUCUAUUAGAAAUGGGACUACAGGCAUUCAUGUUAUAUUUUGGCAAAGAACUUUUAUACAUUUUUCCCAUGUCCUGAGAUUGUGUGAGGCUAAAUUUAGAAGUGAUGGACUAAUUAAUCUGAUGGAGAAAAUUUCAAGGCAGCAGAACAUUCAGUCAGUGGCAUACGCAUUACUGGUGACUUUUGGUCAAGUUUACUCAUAAUCAGGAGCAUAGAGCAGAGAAGAUAGGUUUUUAAAACUUGCAGUUAAGCUUAGAAAUACAUGUGUAAAACUAGAGCCAAGAAAAACGUGGGUGCUGAAGCGAUUACCUCUUCUAAAGAAAAGCUAAGUGCUUUGCAUGGUAACAAUAGGAAGGAUGACUAGAUGGAAUCUUGGGAAUCAAUAAAUAUACACACCUAUUACAAGCUUGAGAGUAGAGAAGCAAAAACUUCUUUCAAAUACCAUGGGGCACUCUGUUUGCACAGAGGUGCCUAGGAAUUUGUUUCUCCAGGAUUUGAUUUACUGUUGAGCUGCCCAGGCACUCAGAAGCUUCCAGAGCUGUGGUCUAAAAGAACCCAACUACCGCUCUAGGUGGUUGCAGACCUUGGCGUUGUCCAUGCGAUGCUGAUUCUUCAAGAAUACAGGAUGCUUGAGUUAAGAGGAUCAGGGAGGAUUCUGCCAAGGUUUCAAAGAAAGUCCUGGGAGGCUAGGCAAAGCUUAUCAGGGUUAGAAUCCCUGUGGAAAGCCCCUGAGAGGGCAAUGUGAGAAGCAGUGGAGGGGGGAAAGCUAUAGCUGCAGUGGAGAUCACUAGGAUUGAGAGAUGCCAGUAAUGUAGGCAUGACUCUCAAAGAGGGUGAGAUGGCCUACGUUUCAGUGAGUUUCUGACAGUGAAUUGAACCAUCCCUCCAGCAGCCUAUUUCUCUUGCAUCCUUCAUUAAUCGCAGCUUUGUAGAUAAAAUUGGGUCAUUCCUGUAUUCUGUGCUUCCAAUCACCCUAUGACAAAACUAACACCUCACUCCAGUCACUUAUUAUAAUUCCAUUCCAGAAAUCUCUUUGAUGUCACUUCUCCUGAAGUUACAUUAUUAAUUUCUUUAAUCAACCUCAAUAUUUUCAAUGUCUUAGCAAGUUUUGAGACAACUAUGCUUGCAUCUGCAAUUUCAUAACCAAGUUUCUUACUAGUCCUCAUCUGUUCUAGUCUCAAUUUAUUAGUGAAGUCUAUUAUAUUAUGUUAACUACUGGUAUGUUUAAUUUCUUUUUCAACAUAUCUAAAUCUGGAGACAUUAGUCAUCAAAAGAAUAUCCUCAGGUCUGUCAGACCAACUCCCUGACAAAUUAGGAUAAAGGUGGUUUCCUAAUGGAUCUUCUCUAGAGUAUCUACCACUGAAAUAAAAAAAAAUCAGUCUAAAACCUCAGUGUGCAAAAGGUAUAAUUUUAGAGAUGUGCCUUCCUCAGGCAAGGAAAUACAGGUUAGCCAUCUUGGACUUCCAUAACAAAAUACCACAGACUGAGUGGCUUAAACAACAAAAUUUAUUUCCUUACAGUUUCAGAGCCUAGAAAGCCAAGGUCAAGGGUUAUGAACAUUGUUUGAUUCUGAUGAGGGCUCUUUUCCUGGCUUACAGUACAUACCUUCAUGCUGUGUCUCCUUAUGGGAGAGAGAGAGAGAGAGAAGGGAAGAGAGAGUACACACAUGAUGAAGCAAGUUUUCUAGUGUCUUUUCUUAUAAGGCAUAAAUUCCAUUAUGAGGACCCCACCUUUAUGACCUCCUCUAACUCCAAUCAUCUCCCUCAAUCCCCAUCUCAAUUUGAAGUUUCAACAGAUAAACUGGUGGGGGAGUUGGAACACAAUUCAGUCCAUAACACCACCUAAAGAGCAGAUUAUGCAAAUUCCCAAGAGUACAACAGGGAUUCUCAUAGGCUUUCUAUAUCAAAUCAAGAAUGUUAUACUGCAUAUAGUAGUUGUUCAAUAAAUGCUUUUUGAAUGAGUUGAAAAAAUAUUGAUCACUAGAGAUGUUUUCCCAACACUUCAAUGUCACAUAGUAAGGAUUCAGUAUGAAUUUGUCAAACAAACAAACAAAUAAAUAAAUAAAUAUUUAUUUAUUUAUUUCACUAUGGGAAUUGAACAUAAGGCCUCAUGUAUGCUUAGCAAGUACUUUACCAUUUGGCUACAUGCCCACCCCAAAUGAAUCACUAUCAAAUAAAUACUUUGUAUGCAUAUUGGAGACACACCUCUGAAUUUCAUUCCAUUAGUUGAACAGGAGAUCUUAACUUCCUGGUGUCAAAAUUACUUAUUGCUCCUUUUCUCUCUACCAUAGGUUCAGAUUUCCUCUAUAGCCCCCUUGUAGGUUAUUUACUCCUGCAAGAGAAGAGUGAGGAUGGAGAGGUCUUUGGUCAAGUCAGGGCUGGGCUCUAGUCCCAAAGCAGCCAUUUCAUAUUUGACUGAAGCUAGGAAAAUCACUGAAUUUCCCUGAUCUUAAUUAUGCUGAGGAACAAAUAUAUUCAGAGGAAAACACUGUGUGUUAAGUGAUUUUCAACACAAUUGUAUUUCACCAGUUUAGAGUAACAUCUCAAUAAAUGCCCAUUCUCCUCCAACAGUGGGCAAUAUCCAUUUUUAAUAAAUCCUGCCCCCCCCCCGUGGGAAUUACCUUUAACAUUGUGUUCAGUCUUGGUGACACACUAAUGCCAAUACUAUUCCCUCUGAAAGAGGUCCCUGAUGACUCCUCCAGAUCCUUCUCACUACCUUACACAUCCACAGGGCUGGCAGGUGCCCCAGAUCAGUCAAGCAGGCACUCCCUUGGGACUCUGUCUAUUGAAUAGAAUGACAAAAGAAACUGCUGACUUGCAUUCAUUCCAACAGAGGACUUUAACAAACAGGUCAUUUUUGUCCUGGUUUUGGUCUUAUUUCCUAUUCUGAUUCUCUGGUCUUCCUUUCAAUUAUGUGAACUCUUCAAUAUCCUUUUAUACAUUUCCUUUCUGAUUAAGUUAGCCAGAGUCAAAUUCUUUAGCUCACAAUCACAUAUGCUAUCUGAGCAUGUUCUUCCACCUGUUCCUUCUAUUAAUACACCCCUGAAUUAGAGCAUUCUAUCCUACUCAAAACUGACAACACAUACACAUAGUUAGGGACCAGGAGAGUUAUAUUUCUUUUCUAGAUGGUAUGUAGUCAUCCCUCUAUAUUUGCAGGGAAUUGGAUCCAGGACACCACCCACACAUCUCUGAUUACCAAAAUCUGCAGUACUGGAGUCCCUCAUGCAAAAUGGCUUAUUUGCAUAUAAUGAACACAUAUCUGCCACAUACAAAUCAUCUCUGGAUUAUUUAUAAUACCUAAAACAAUGUAAAUGUUAUGUAAAUAGUCAUUAUACUAUUAUUCAUGGAAUAUUAAAGAGAAAAAAGUCUGUACAUAUUCAGUAUAGAUACAAUUCUUUUCCUGAAUAUUUUGAUCUGUUGCUGGUUGAAUCAGUGGAUGUAGAACCCACACACGGAAAGCUGACUGUACUCAAUUAUGGUCUGAUGACUUAAAAGGGAUAUUUACAAAUGGAAUGUGUUUAGAGGAGCAAUAAACAAUUAUAAAAUCAUAUCAUACAAGGAAGGAGUGAAGGAAAUUGGAGCUAGUGGCAUAGAAGAGAGAGAAUGCAUAAAACACACAUGUGUAAACUCCUUAAUCAUCUAAUCAGCUCUGCAUAGUUCCACAUGACAGACUUAGGUCAAGUGCAUAGAAGGUAAAAUUAGGCAGGCUUCAGUUCAAUUUAAGAAGUAUAAAAUACUAUAAAUUAGAGCUGCUUUAUCCACCCCCCAAAAUGGUCUUUUCAUGACUAAAAUUAUAAAGAAUAAUCAUAGAAAAUAAUCAAGCAGAAAUUGGGUAUCUACCUUAGAUAUACAUAAAGGGAGAGAGUGGGAUCAGCGGCAUUUAAAACCUAGAUUCUCAAUAGAACUUCUAUAAUUCCUUUUUGCCUCCCUCAAAUAAAACAAAAUAAAAGCAUAACAUUUAGGGGGGGGGGGAGUAAAAGCCACCGAAUGAGAAAGGAAGUAAUAUUUUAGGAAACAACAAAGUCCUAAAUUUUCCUCCCUAUCCCCACCCCUAAUUUGGGAAGUGUAAAAAGAAGGUUGAGUAUAAUCUUCAUAAACUAUAUGGAGGCCUAAGUCCCCUUCCUUAAUCAUGUACAGACAUACCACACCUCUUCAGAGGCAGAAACAAUUCUUGAAGUUUAAUAUUAUAAUUAUUUUAUUUUUAACUUUUAUUGACCAGGUUGAGAUCUCAGAAGUAGGAAGAUUAUAAGUUGUAUAUAGUUAAACAUCGAUUUAACAGAAUGGAAGACCAAAGGAAAGAACAUUUAGAGAACAAAAGACCCAGGAGGGAGAGUGCUUGCUUAUCAACUGAUGGCCAUCCUCCCCAAGUCACUCCACUGGAAAACACAGAAGUCUUCCUCACUCAUAGUUCUGCUUUUCUUUUCCCUCUACUGGCCCAGGGAAUUAUGGGAAUGGCAAUGAGGGGAGGGGAUGGAGACAGAAGGAACACAUAAGACAGAUCAUCAGAAGCAGAGGUUCCAAGGUUCCAUCCUGAACUGGGUAAAGGAUCUGCUCACAAAUAUGGCAUUAAAUCCGACAGAAGUAGAAAGAGCUCUAAUGGGGAAUCUAAACAAAAUUAGGAAGGACAAAAAAAUCCAGAAUCCCCAGCCAUGACGGCUGAAUCAUCCAUUCCCUGCGGCCCUAGGAUGCAGAUAACAAAAUACACUCCAGAUACAAACCUAGCACACAGGCCUUGAUAAAGCCGACUUCAAGGGAAAGGGAGAAGGGAAAAGAAAGAGGAUGGCCUACAGGAAAAAAUAUUACAGGGUUUUUUUUUAAAAAAACAAAGAAUAUCAAUGGUAGAUAAAGAAUCCACUCUGGGAGAAAACAUGACUCAACUGAUUUGGGUAAAAUUCCCCAUUGUGAGAGCACUUCAUUAGCACUUCUUACCCAUGUGCCAUAUACAGUGGGAAGUAUUUUACAUACAUUAAUACAUAUAAUCUUCACAGCAACUCUAUAAAGUAAAGGUUACUGUUUCCUCAUUUUAUGGAUGAAGGAAGCUGAGGUUCAGAAUAGAAAAGUAACCUGCCAAGGGCCACAGAGCUCUGAAGGAGCAAAGCCAGCAUUUGAACCCCAUAGAUGGACUUCAGCCAUGAUAAUAUGCUGUGUCUCACCUGGACUUCAAUGAAAAGCCAUGAUCAAACACCUCAGGGUGAGUGUGGCUUCUUUCAAAGAACCAUGAAUCAACAGAGUCCGUUUCAUCACCAAGUCAAGAGGCCAAGUAGAUGUUGCACCACUUCCCAUUAUGGAAUGCCAGCCUUGGAAGUAUCUCUUGCUCAGAGAGCUAGGCAAUUAUGCAAGACAAAAAGACUUUUAAUAAAAGUGUCCUCAUGGAGAAGCUGUAAAAUCUGUCUAAGAUCACUCAGCUAGUAAAUUUUGGAGCUAGAACUCAAAUCUGGCUCCAAUUUCUCUGUGCUUAAUAAUGCACUGGAAACAUAAGGGCAUUGAUUAUAGACUUGGACACAAAAAAGUUAGGAAUAUAGAUGAAAAAGAAACUUAAACAAGCACAAUGAAUGCAAAGGAAAAAGAAAUGUAUAAAGUAAAUCAAAAGGCAACCGGAUGGGAAGACAGUUACAUUCCAACUCAAGUGUAACUGGGGUCAUUGAAGAUGGCAAAUCAAUUCAUAGAACAGAUACAAAAAGAUAAAACAGAAUAAAAAUUUUCUAAGAUCAAGGGGCGAUAUAUGCAAACUAAAAGUACAUACAUUUGGGGAAAUGUUGGUGCAGAAUAUCAACAUGAAAUAUUAUCAUGGUAAAGUUUCUGAGCAUCAAACAUAAAUUCAGGUAUAAAUUUUUUUAGAAACAGAUGCAUAAGUAAGAAGUCUCUAAAACAUGUAGAAAAAAAAAUGGUUGAGACUGUCAAUACCACAACUGUCCACUACACAUUGUAUACUUCUUAUGGUCCAUUUCAAUACAAUUGGCAGCAACCUCUAACCCCUAACUCCAACCACUGCUGUGAUGCCCAUUUCUUUGCAGGUCAGGUCAAAUGUUAUGUUGUAUGAGUUAACAUUUUGAUAAAUAUUGAUAAGUUGCUCUUCCAAGAAGUUUUAAAAAUUUACACUCUGCCUGAGAUACAUGGAUUCCUAUAUUCCCACGUUUUCAACAGUGUAUCAGUGUAUAGUUGAGAAUAUCAAUACCAUAACUGUCAAUAUCAAGACAGUCCAGCAAGGUCUGAAAGUUCUAAAGGAAGAUAUGCAUCAAAAUCAUACUUUUAAAAUCCUAAGUAAUUCAAACAAUAAAGUAUAUAUUUUAAAAUAAGCCUCCCCCCAUAUCUAUCUCAGUCUCCCUUCAAAAGAAGAAAUACUGCUUAUCAGGAAACUCUGGGAUUUUACAGAAAUAUUUCAUACAUAGGCAGGCAGCUACAUUUUCUCUUCCCUGAAAUCAGAGAUAAGAAAAAACCUCUUUGUAGAUAAUUUGUGUAUGUGAUCCCAGGGAAUUUUGCCAAACAAAGAGAGUUAAGCAGAGAAGGAGAUAAAGGAUAGGACACACUUUAGGAGACUGAGCAAUCAUCCAAAAAAAGGUCUCAUAAAAUGUGUCUCUGAACUGUGCACCUGGGGUGAAGUGGGAAGCAUUCAGUUGUCAGCUCCUGUCCUCCACUGGUUAAGAGUAGCCUCCCAGGCAAUGUCCCUGAACUUCUAGGUAGCAUGCGCAUGAGUGUUAAAUGGAUAGCUGUGAGUGUCUUUCUCUCUCUAUAGCUUCAGAGAAGCCCUGGGGCAGCAUUAUAAACUGGAUGUUUGCAUCCCUCUAAAAUGUGUAUAUUGAGACCCUAACUCCCCUGAUGUGAUGGUAUCUGGAAGUAGAGCCUUUGAUGAUUAACUUCUGACUGGGUCAUCAGAGUGAGCCCCUGAAGGUGGGUCAGUGUCUUAACAAAGGGAGGGGACUGAAGCUCACUCUCUCUGCCAUUUGAGAACACAGAGAAGGCAGCCUUCUGAAAUCUGGAAGAAGAGCCCUCACCAGGAACAGAGUUGAUCAGCACCUGAAUCUUGGAUUCCCAGCUUCCAGAAUUGUCUGUUGUCUAAGCCACUCAGCCUAUGGUACUUGUUAUGGUAGCAUGAACUGAUUAACACAAGCAGGAAGUAAAUGGUAUGCAGCUCGGCCCUAGGGGCAGCACUGUCCAGGACACUGAUGUGAAGCUUAUCGAAGCCUGCAGAGAAAUUGGCAUCACAGCAGUGGUUGGAUUAGGGGUUAGGGGUUGCUGCCAAUGGUAUUGAAAUGGAGCUUAGGAGGUAUGCAAAGCCUAGGUGCAAUAACUCCACUAUCUCACAUUCUCUCCACAAGCCAUGACAGCCUACUCACACUGUUCUAUACUCAGUUCUAAUAAUUAGCUAUCUAUCUUGUGGACUCUGCCACAUAGGCAUAAGCAUUACUCAUUUUAAUUACCAUAUAGCUUUCCACCAUACGAAUGUACCAUAAUUAAUUGAACUGAUGAAUAUUGAAAUUGUUCAGACUAUAAAGACUGCUUCAGGAAACACACACACACAUACACACACACACACACAUCCUCUCUCUCUCUCUCUCUCUCUCUCUCUCUCUCUAUCUAUCUAUCUCUAUCUUACUUUAUCUCAGGUAUGCAUUUAAUGUAUCAGAGGAAACAAUUCCUACAAGUCAGGUCAAAGGUUAUGUUGUAUGGGGGGUUGGGGUUGUGACAGUGGUAGAGUGCUUGUCAAGCAUGUGUGAGGCACUGGGUUCAAUUCUCAGAACCACAUAUAAAUAAAUAAAAUAAAGGUCCAUUGACAACUAAAAAAAAAAGACUAUGUUGCUAUGUUGUAUGAGUUAACAUUUUGAUAAAUAUUGAUAAGUUGCUCUUCCAAGAUGUUUUUCAAUUUACACUGUCCUCCACAUGUCCGAAGUACAUGGAUUCCUGUAUUCCCACAUUUUCAACAGUGUAUUUUCAUAUUUUGUUUAUUUUUGCCAAUCUAGGAGGUGAGAAAAGGAUUUGACUUUUUUUAAGAAGUUUUUUUAAAUUUAUUUUUUAGUUGUAGUUGGACACAAUACCUUUAUUUUAUUUACUUGUUUUUAUGUGGUUAUGAGGAUCGAACCCAGGGCCUUGCAUGUGCCAGGCGAGUGCUCUACCACUGAGCCAUAACCCCAGCCCCAAGGAUUUGACUUUGACUUGCAUUUUUAAGUUAUAAGUGUGGUUGAUUAUUUUUACUUAAGCUCCAAAGUUUUUCUUGUUUUCCCUUCUACAAAUUGCUUAUUUGUACCUGUUGCUUUUUUUUCUCUCUCUCUCUCUACUUGUAUUUUAGAUCUUUGGUAUUAGGCAAUUAGCCUUUUGUCACAUUUAUUCCCAAACACUCUCGCUGUGUGCUGGUUGUCUUUUGUAGUGCUUUGUUUUCACUUUGAUUGGAAAUUGAGGCUGCAAAGGGUUAAAAGAUCUCAAAAUACAACAGCGCAACCUCACAUUUGUCCAAUUUAUUAUUAUUUUGUUGUUGUCAUUGUUGAACCCAGGGGCACUUAACCACUGAGCCACAUUUCUAUCCUUCUUUAUGUAUUAUUUUGAGACAAGGUCUUGCUAAGUUGCUUAGGGUCUCACUAAGUUGCUUAGAAUGAUUUUGAACUUGCUAUCCUCCUGCCUCAGCCUCCCAAGCCACUGGGAUCACAGGUAUCUGCCACUGUGCCUGGCACACCUGCCAAUUUUUUUUUUAAAAACACAACUGAAUGCACAUCACCUAGAAAAGUUAGCCUAACAAAACACCAUCUCCAAACCAGUCCUUUAUACAAGCCCAAAUCAAUACACACCACUAGAUUCUUCAGAUUCCAAAGACUCCGCAGCUGUCAGCAACAUGGUGACAGCUGAUGCUCUCUCUUGAUAUGGGACUGCAUAGCUCUGUGAAACCUGGCUCCAAGGACCAGCUUUCUCUUUGUCUUCUCAUGUGAUUUUGCUAAAGCAUGACUGUCGAUUUCUGAGCAGAAGCACCAGGAGGCUUUCUGAAGCCUCUGUCCCAAUGACUUCCACCAGGUCCAGAACUCUGUCCUGAGCAACUACAGACCUUUCUUUUCCUCUGAUUCAGAAUCUCCUGGAUAUAUAGGCAAUGAUCCUUCUGCCCUAGCUUCCCUUGCGGAGGAAGAUGUCUGUCUCAUGGGGAUGACCCUACUCCCUUCAGAAGGGUUUAGCUGAGGUUUUGAACUGCUCAGUCUCUUUUAGGUGUUUCCUCUAUUUUUUUUUUCUUAUAUGAUACUAGUAUUCUGUGUUCAAUCUGAGGGACUUCUUGGCUUUUUGUACCCAAAUCUUGGUAUUUCUAUUUCUUAUCUAGAUGCCUCUACACCUGAGUCACCCUGCAUAUUCAAAUAAAAACCAAAAAAUCCUUUCUUCUAUAAGCCUAUAUUUAAAAGGAGUUGAUAUAUUUUCUUCUCGUAGACAUAGCUGUCUAUUUUCUAAGAUCUCAAUCUUUCAGUAGAAGAUCUCUCUUCCAACAACUUUAUCAGCCUUUCUUUUAAUUUUUCUUUCAUUUGGCUCUAAUCCCUGUUCUGAUGUUGGUGGUGGAAAAUCAUAUUUUUAAAUAUCAAUCUAAUUCCUCCUUGAUUUCCCAGGAAACAUGAUUCUUGAAGUAUUCCAGGUAUAGAUUUUUUAAGUAGCUUGCUUAGCUUUGGGAUUUGGAAUAAAUUCAUUGAUUAAUCUCUCCAUCUCUAACCAGUGUGGAUGAUAUAUUUGCUAUAUGAUAAAGAUUCAAUUUAUUUUUAAUGCUUUUUUUUUCAUUCACAAAAUCUACCACCUGUGCAUGAGUGAAGAGAUAGCUUGGGUCACUGAAUUCUGAAGCCAGGUCAGAACUGAUGUGUUUGGCACAUGCACUUGCAGUUUAUAUGAACACCAAACCUAUGGACAAGCUGUGUGAAUCCAAAAUGGUAGCCCCUCUUUUGUUACCCUUUUUAUUUUGGAUUCUGUUCAAAAUAAGGUAACAAGAAAUCAAACUGGGGUCUGCGGAUCUAAUGUCAGUGAACAAUGUCUAACACUGCAUGAGUGUGCAUCUCUUGGGACUUUCCAGAAAUGUAGAAUCUUAGGCCCUACUCCAGAAUUACACAAUCCAAACUUGCAUUUUAACAAGUCUCCUGGGAGAUCUUGUUUGCACAUUAAAGUUUGAGAGCUCACAAAUAACUUGACUCUGCCUUCCUUGCUGAGAAAAACAAGUUACAAGGAGAGAAAUUCAUUGCACCACAAUACUCACAAAAAUCUCCUCACUGAGGCUCAAUCUGAUUUAAUUGAUAUAAAAAUAUACUUUUCUGAUCCUUUAAUCUUGUUUGUUUUAUCAAAGCAAAGGUACAGCAUUUGAUAUAAAUGAGCCAUAGAGCUGCCCCUUCUCCCACCCUACGCUAAAGUCCUUGCCAUGUAAAGAUCAGACUCGACUCGUAUGGUGAUGCUUACUAACCACCUCUCAAAUGCCCAGCUGUCCUGACCAGUCACACACAGGAGCACACUACCUAACCUGGCCUCAUGAAAGGUUCCAUUCCAUGUUCUAUCUUAUCUUCUAAAUUCUGGUCCUUCCUUAUCUAUCCAAGUUAUUAGUUCAAGUCUUAAAAUGGAAGGCUUGUUGGGGCUAAUAAUACUAUUCUUUCUUUCCUCCUCCCAAGUAAAGAACUACUUUGAACUAAGACAAAGGCAUUAAAACCAUGGAGAUUAAAAAUCACCUGCAUCGUUAAGCUGAUUAGAAUAUGAGGCUCAGUUUCAAAAUAGCUAAUUGAGGGACAUGAGAUGUAGCUCAGUGGAAGAACACUUACCUAAUGUGAGUGAAACAAACCCUGGGUCCACUCCCCAAAAUGGAAAAUAAAUAAGUUGUUAGAAAAGCAAUGAAUAGGAUUUUUAAUGUUCCCAACAUAAAGAAAUGAAAUAUGUCCAAGGUGAUAGAUAUGCAAUUACCCUGCUCUGAUCAUUACAUAUUGUAUGUAUGUAUUGAAAUACCAUUUUGUACUCCAUAAAUAUUUACAAUUACAGUGUCCAUUUAAAGUUAGUAAUAUGAGGCUCAGAAUUGUGAUUUAAUGAGCUUCCCAACACUCUACUGAGCCUGGAUAAAAACAUCUGAUUGUUUCAGGCAAAACUUGGUAGCCACAGACUGGCCCUAUUGGAUCAGGGAGGCGUGGAAACCCUGAAGAGAGGCUACUUUGAAAGGGAUAUGUCAACCCUGCUUCUUCACUAAUGUUCCCAGUUUCACCCAACUUUGGAGGAGACAGUGAAUGGGACCGAGCGGUGAGAAACAGCCUACUCAUGUUUUUUUCUUUUUUUUUUUUUUUUGUCACCAAUAGCAAGAUGAGGAAUGGGAACUAGAAAUGCUCCUAAAAAUAUUCUUUGCAACAUUUAAUGUAAACCACUUUAAAAACAAAUGCUUUUCUGAAAAAAAAAAAAAAAGUUCUAAAACUGAACUCCAAAGAAACAGAAAACGUAAACAGACUGACAACCAUGAAGUAAAUGGAAAAGUUACCAAAAUCCUAAAUCCACUAGAAGUAUCAUGCUCGGAUGCUUAAUCAGGAAAUCCCUAGAACUUCUGAGAAAUAGAUAAGUUUAAUAGCAUUUAACUUUCCAAGAGCACAUAUGGGAAAAAGUGUUUGGGAAAAGGAAGCCUCCUUCUGCCAAGUCAGCAUACCAUUCAUUAAGUCUGACCCAGAUAGCACCUAGAAAGAAAAGGCCAAGAUCACUCAUGAAUAUUGACAGUAAAAUCUUAAGUAUAAUUUUAUCAACUAUAAUUGGACAGUGUAUUAAGAAGCAUAAUAUCAUAACCAUGUGGAGAAGAUUCCAGAAUGUAAAAAUGGCUUAAUGUUCAGAAAUGUUUAUAUAAUUUAUCAUAUUUAUGAGUCAAGUAAAAAAAAAUAAUAAAAAGUCAAGGCCAUACAUGCUAAAAAAGCAUUUGAAAAUCUAUUCUUGACUUUUUAAAAAAUGCAAAAUCUUAGUAAAGUAGAUGUAAGUACUCUUAUGUCUAGUAUUGAGACAAUAUAAAUAUUCUCAUUAGCAUUAGGAACAUGUCAAGGAUAGUGAAAGUGCCAAUAUUAUUCGCUUCUUGAGAAAAUAUUAUCCAGAAUAGAAAUGCAGAUUAGAAAAUGCAAAAGAAGUAGAAAGAUUAUUUUUUCCAUAUCUUGAAAACUCGGAAGAAUAAAUGGGAAGAACUAUUACUGGCAAUAAGAGAACUCAGUAUGUUUACCAAGUUUUUUUUUUUACAUGAAAUAACAACCAUGUAUAAAAAAUGUAGUGGAAGAUAGUGCCUCAUUUAGAAUAACAUCUGAAAAUAAUAAAAUAUCUAUGAAUAAGCUUAAUGAAAUAUAUAUGUAAAAUGUUUUAAAUUUGACUAAAGGGCAUAAAAGCGACCAAAUAAAAAGAACUGGAUGUCUUGUUCAGAGGCAGAAAAAUUCAAUAUUGUAGUGAUAAAAUUUUUCUAGAAAUUCAAUGUGAUUAGGCUAUCGAAUGGCUUGUUCCCAGCUGGAGUGAGCAUGUGUGUAAAGCCUUAAAAGUUUUUUAAAAAGAGUUAAAAGAGAUUAACUUUAGUAGUCACUGAAGAGUAUUAGUGAUGCUCUAGAUUAUCAACACCACAAAGAGAAUUAAUUGAUUAAGGAUACAUGGGUAGAUACUUUAAGAAAUAAAUUUAUGUAUCUAAAUAAAGUCUAAACUGAGCUAAAAUCUACAUGUAUAAAAUAACUUUAACAAUUUUAGAAGAUAAAAAUACAUAUUAAUGUACUAAUGAUCCUGGAAGGGGAAAACUUUUUCAAAAAUGAUACAGAAACCUAAAGCCAUAAAAGAAGAAUUGAUCAAUCUUCCUUGAUAAACUUCCUUUUUACUUCUCAGUAAAUUACCAAAUGCAUGAUCCAGCCCCCCAACUAAAUUCAAUGACUCUUUUUUUUUCUUGCCUUAUAAUAAUCUUACCUUCAAUGUAUCAGUUAAUCACUUUAGUCAAUUUUCCUGAAAUCACUCUAAGGGUUCUAGAAUUUGUUGACACCUUGAACUGAAAAGUAUGUUAUUGAAUUAUGUACAAAAUAAUGAAAAUGGUGUUUUAAAAUACAUAUGUGUCCAAGUAAGUGCUUUUCACUUAUUGACUCAUUUAAUUCCAACAAAUCUCUGAAAGAAGUACUAUUGUUAUAUCCAUUUUACAGAUGAAGAAAUUGAGAGAAAGGUUAAGUUAUAGACAUGUUAUUAAAUGAGAGAGUGAAGACUUGAACUUAUAUCUGCUUGUGGAUCAAAUGUGUGUUGUUAAUGGCUUCGUAGCCCUGCAAUUAAUGAAAUGGAGAUAUAAGGCUUUUUAAGGCUUAUACGGCUUACGGAUUUGUAAGGCUUAGUGAGUGAAAGACAAGGCCCAAGCUCCUAUAGCUCCCUCCCUCAAAAUGAAAGGAAAGCUUUGCAACACACACAUACAUUUCAACCAUUCAAAAACCUUUAUUGGAACCUAUGCCAGGUAUAAUUUUUAGAGGUAUCAUUGAAUAAAUCUAAAUGACAAAGCCCUCACGGGAGGCAACAGGAAGUGCAAAACAAUGAAUGAACAUAUAAGAUGUCAUUUGACAAUAAAUACUAUGAAAAAAAUUAAAGGUAUUUAAGGCAGGUAGACAGUGACAGAGAAGAGGCAAGGUGCUCAGUUACAACAGAAGAGAACACUUCGGUUAAAGGGUCAUGAGCAGACACCCGAGGCAGGCUAAGUAGCCAAGCAGAGUUUUAGGAAAAGUGUAGCAAGCAUGCGUACUGAGUGAGGGUGCAUGAGUAUGCAGAGCAGCGUGGCCAGAGUGAGCCAGGCUCCGAGGCAUGGGAAGCAAGGUCAGAUGUACAGCAGGGAGCAGGGCAUGUAGGGAAACCUUCCGCCCACCACACCUGCACAGAAUAACCCUUGGUGCCAGGGUCUGGGAAUCUUAGGGGACCUCCACAGUAGAACUGCAGACUGGAACCAGCAGUCCUGCUGUGUUCAACCACAAAAACAUACUCAGUCCUUAGAAAAUGGAGAACCAGAAGGAGUUCAUGAUUAACUCACACAUCUGCUAGAUAAUCUCCUGUUAUUGUUUGUUAUCAAGCAGAGAAGACUGAACAUUUGAAAUGAUCAAUUAGCUUAAUUACAAUUUGGAGCCAGUGUUCCCUACUGUGAAAUGAAUUCUCACUGCCCUGACGAGGUUAUGUGAAUGAGAUUAUAUGUGAUAUUACUACCAGAGCUUUGGUUUAGAAUUGCUGAUUUCACUCCUUGUGGGUUCUUGUUUAAAAAAAAAAGAAAUAUUCAACAUGCUUCAUUUUGAGUAGCCUUCUUGCCUGGGGAAAUGGGUACUGGAAUCCACAGAAACAAUUUUAUUUUUGAGUUCUUUCCAAUGGUUAUCAGAUGUCCUAUGAAAAUUUGUGUUUAGAACCCAAGACUGGUGAAAAUAGAAAUGCUUUUAUUUUUAUUUAUUUAUUUUUUGUCAAAAAUGAGUUACUCUCCCUGGCAGAGUAACCUUUAGAGAGGAUGAUUUGUUUUUAAUUGGAGUUCUGUUAUUGUACUAAGAAAUCAUACUCCUAAGUAGCAGGGCUGGCAAACUUUUUUUUUUUCUGUAAAGAAUCAGAUAAUAAAUAUUUUAAGUUUUGGGGUCAUACAAGUCUUUUUUAAAAAUACUCAAUUUGGACAUUGGAAGGAGUUAGAGGCAAUAGGUAAAUGAAUAAGUUUGGCUUAUUUUCAAAAACAGGUGGCAAACCAGAUUUGGUCCAAAGUAUGUAACUUGCAGGACCCCUGCUUUAGAGUCUCUUAUUUAUAUGUACAAGUGCUUAGGAAAACAGAGAGAUAGACAAAUAGCACUGUUUCUUUCUUUGGCCCCUCUGCAGGUGAAUAUCUAAGUUAAAUGUAAUUGGCAAAAAAGAAAAGAAAAGAAAAAAAUAACAAACAGAAACAAUAAGUAGGACUUAGUUGUCUUAGGCCAAUGCCAUAUAAAUUGAUGCCUGAUCAAUCAAUCAGGAGCAUUCUGGUUUUGCAAUAAGACAUAACAGCUGUCUUAUUAAGAAGUGUGUUUGCUCAGUCAUAUUCUCCUUCGCUUCUUCUUGUUAUGUGUGCAGUCAGAUUAACAUUUUCAGGGGUUGCUGUGACACUUUUAAAUAGCAUGGAGUUUCCUGCCCUAGGACUUGCCAGCUCUCCCUGGUCUCUGGCUGGCUGUGUCCCUGGGGCUGGUGUGCCAGCCUCCCUCAGGCAUCACACUUUGUGUUGCACCCACAACACAUGCCCAGUUCUCUGGCUGGUCCCAGAUCACCACAGAUGCCCAACUCAAUAAUGAAUCCUUAGAAAGUACAGGUCAUGGGCUGGGGAUAUAGCUCAGUUGGUAGAGUAUUUGCCUAGCAUGCACAAGGCCCUGGGUUCAAUCCCUUGGGUUCAAUCCAGAAAAGAAAAAAGAAAUGAAAGUAUAAGUCAUAUGAUAGAUUUCUUUCCUCUCUCAUUUAAGAGACUAACAUGGCCCUGAUAACAUCUAGAUUGCUGGAUAAAAGCUGGCUGAAGGGAGAUGCCUAUGAACUGCUAUUGUUCACCUGCUGCUCACUCAGGGGACUUUUGAUCUCUCCGUUUUAAGCACCCUUUCUUGCUUCUUCUCCCACCUCAUCACAUAUCACCACACAUACCAGCCAGAACUAAGCUCAAAGUUGAGACCCUUUAAUAUGUGUUGAGGGAGCUCAGAGUUUUGCUUUUAUGGACAAAAUCAGAUAAACUUACAUGGUUCAUUUAGUAUUAAAUCAGGCUGCAUGGGUCCCUUGAACUAGCAUUGAUGGUAGGGAAGCCAAACAUGGCAAUGGGAAAGAUGUUAUGGUCUUGUGGGAUCUUUAAAAGGCACAUGUUCCUGGUUCCUCUUCACCAAGAGUCUUUUCUUUUUUAGAUCACAGUACUAAAUUGAUUUCAGAACGAGGCACUGGUUACCAUGUGUGCUGAAUGAUCUACUGUCAACUCAACAUGACCACCUCUCUAAGACAAACACCCAUGUUUUGUGCAUAUCUUUCCCAGCAUGGAUCCAGGUUAGAGUUUGCUAAUGAAUGCAAUUGGUGGGGAUUUAGAAAUCAAGACUGAAACAGAAGUCAUCAAUUUUUCCCAGUGGUGGUUGCAAGCAGAUGUGGAGCAGAGCAGAGAUUUCAGUGGCUUCCAGAGUACUCCUAAGCGUCACCUUCUUUACCUUGGUGGAGUGAGACAGUUGAUGGAGCCUCUCUAAGUUCUUUGAGAAUUAAGUACCCAGCAAGCUUUCAAAAGCCACCUGCUUAUAUCCCUGACUGUGAUCAUCUCUAUCAGCAACCCCGACCUCCAGCGGCAGCUUCCCUCAUCUCCACACCUCCAGCUCAUCUACAAAAACCUUGACUUCUAUGUUAAGCCAUCUGUGCCUGGCAGACCCAGAGUGUCUUCUGUUUUCAGAACUAUACCCUGUAUCACCUGGGUAGGGAAGGAUAACCAAGGACACAGUUGACAUCACUUCAACAUUUACUUGUUUUUGUAGAAAUGACACAAUAUUAAGAGGAUCAUUCGCUGAUAGAAUGAAGUAGAGUUUUCUGUGGAAUCUGAGAUGCUGGUGAUUAUAAAACAGAGGUAACAUUAAGAAAAAAAAAUGACCCAAAUGGGUAGUCUCACAGGAAGCCCCA
rnacentral:lncRNA from 1 species